CGUGAGAAUCUUGAAUCACUUUUAGCAUCUGUCAUGUACCAGAAGCCCUAGUGAACAUAAUUCUGGUUAUUUCAUAAACUCUUGAUUUACAAACACCGAAAGUAAAGUGAAAAACAACAACUUGUUAAACCUAAACCCCCAUUUUAGGAAACAUUAAACUAUCAGUUGAUUAAAUCGCAAACAACUUGAGUUCACACCAUAUUCCCUGUGGGAUUCAACCCCAACCUAGUUUGGUUUUAUAGUGAAAAUGAUCUCUUACACCCAUUCAAUAUUAUAAUUUGAGCGUUAUCAAAAAUGGAGCCGUUGCUGGGGACUACGUUUGUAAGCUGAAGCUUGUAUGCGCUAAUUGACUGUUAGUUAAGUUUCUUAAAUUUAUGUUUAUUUGUUGGUUUUGUUUAUUUGCAGGAUUUAUACUGUAUGCCAAGCACCAAAAGUUCUGGAGAAACAUUGUUACCACUAAAUCUGGAACCACAAGGAAUAGGAAGAAUGGCACAACAGCAAGAGGCUGAUAGACUGGCAGCCUUAGCUAGAGCUCAGGUGAAUGUGUAAAAUUUCGGGCAACGUGCACGACAUCCAAACCCUAAGGACAAAGAUUUGGGGGACGAGGAGUUAUUGAACCCUGGUAACCCAAGGCAUGCAGAGCAGAUAGUUGUACAAGUGCCACAUAAUGUUAACUGGAACCGUCCGUUCCAAAGAAGAUAAGAGUACCAGCCGUUCCAGUAUGAUCUGAAUAAUGAUGAUGAUGGCAUGGACGGGGCAGGUGCAGCGGGUGCAAUUAUUCCUCCACCCUUGGCACCUGGAGCCAAGUUCAACAUUAUGAGUACUAUGAUCCAACACAUCAAUCUGAAGGGGUUGUUUGGUGGCCUUCCUGGGGAUGAUUCGAACCUGCAUCUGGUGAAUUUUAUCACCAUUUGCAAAUCUUUUAAUACCCCAAGAGUGGGCUAGAACACUAUCCGGUUGAGGUUAUUCCCGUUGUCUCUGUCUUGGGAGGCAACAUUGUGGCUGAAUGAGCUUACGCCUGAUUGCAUCACCCACUGGAGGCAAUUAAAAGAAGCGUUCCUAAAAUGGUUUUUUCCACCCUCCAGGAGGGUACAGUUGAGGGAUGAAAUCAGUAAUUUUAGACAGCUUCCUACUGAAGCUUUGCAUGAGACUUGGGAGUUAUUCAAGAAAAAGCUAACACAGUGUCCGAACCAUAAUAUGACGGACCUACACUUGAUGAAGAUUUUAUACAGGGCGCUCAACUCUGUUAUAAAGCUGAUUGUAGAUAAUGUUGCUAGUGGUUCAUUUGUUGAUCUGUCUUUUCAAGAUGCCUCAGAUAUUCUAAAUAGGAUGACCAAACAGAGUCGGGCUUGGCAUACCAGGGAGUCUGUAGUAGCAAGCCCACUAUUUCUAUUGGUAUGUAUGCUAAACAAUGCGGGAGAGAUGAGGAACAGGAUUAAGACAUGGCCCAUCUAAAGACUCAAAUGGACUAUCUCACCAAGCACUUAUUGUCAGGGAAGACUGAGAAAGUGAAAGCUUUAAUGUCUCAAGACCGAGUGGAUGUGGAGCCUGAAGAAGAGGCAAAUUAUGUUAAUAAUUAGAGGGGUUUCUGAGGUAAUAGCCAAGGGAAUCAAGGUCGGAACGUAUAUGAAAAGCCUGGUUUCAAAGACAAGGAGCAAGGAAAUUGGAGAAGCAAUAAUGACAGGAGUGGUUUAUAUGUUCCUCCUAGAAAUUGGAAAGUUGCUGCAUCUAGCUCUGGAAAAAUGUCCAUGGAGGACAUGAUGGAGAAAUUAUUAAAGGGCAUUGAGGCUCCCAACUCUGGUGUAACCACCAUGAAGACCGAUCUGACAUCCAUCAGUCAGUUGGUGCACUCAUACUCUACUUUCAUCAAAUAGUUGGAGCAGCAGAUGAGCCAACUUUUCGCUGCAUUCAACCAGAGAAAGAGCAGAAUGUUACCAAGAAAUACGGUUCAGAAUCCGCGGAAUGAUGGCUCAUGUAUGGCGAUUACCACUAAGGGUGGUAAGAUAUUACCUGGCCCUUCUGUGGGCAAAUCUGUAGAUGGUGAGGUAGUUGUUGAUGAAUCUGAAGAAAGCAAUCUAGUGGAGUCUGAGAAGCUGGAUAGUUCUAUUAAUGCUUCGAAGAAGGAUAGAGAGAAAGAAGAGGAAGUGGUGUUGAAACUAUCUCAAGACCACCACCUCUCUUUCCUCAACGAUUAAAAAAAAGGCCGAUGAUGCAAAAUACAGUAAAUUUAUAGCAAUGCUCAAGCAAUUAACAAUAAAUGUGCCUUUGGUUGAGGCACUUGAGCAAAUGCCAGGAUACGCGAAAUUCAUGAAGGACCUUGUGACUAAGAAAAGAGCUGUGAGCUAGGAAUUGGAGGAAAAUCUCUACUAUUCUAGCGUUAUUUCUAUAAGGACCUUGGUGCAGAAGAAGUCAGACCCAGGCGCAUUCACUAUUCCCUGUACAAUUGGGACUAUGGAAUUUUCCAAGGCAUUAUGUGAUCUGGGAGAAAACGUUAAUUUGAUGCCACUAAUUGUUUAUAGAAAGUUGGGUCUGGGAAAUCCCACACCCACCAACAUGUGACUCGUGAUGGCGGAUAGGUCAGUAAAGCGACCUAUUGGCAUUUUGUAUGAUGUGUUGGUGAAGGUGUCCAACUUUAUAUUCUCUGCAGACUUCGUCAUUCUAGAUUGCGAGGUGGACUUUGAGGUGCCCGUAAUUUUGGGUCGACCUUUCCUUGCAACCGAAAGUAUGUUAAUUGAUUUGAGAGCAAAUGAGCUCUUAUUCAGGAUGAAUGCUCUAGUGGUCUAGUUUGAUGUGGGGAAGUCAAUAAAGCAACAUGAAGAAAUGAGUGCGUUCUCAGUAGCUAAUAUGUAUUAUAAGAAUGAACAGGAAGUGUCCAUAGCCGAGCAACUUGUUAUCGAACCUUUGGUCGCAAUUAUGAUGAAUUAUGAUAGUGAAGGCAUCAGGGAGUAUGAAGAGACCGUUUUUUCUUUGACAAAAAUGGGUUCAUAUCAUUAUGCUCCUAAAAAACUAGACGUUGAUGUUGCUAAUCGACCAACACCACCAGCCAAGUCAUCUAUUGAGGAGCCUCCACUGUUGGAAUUGAAAAAACUGCCUGGACACUUACGGUACGUGUUUUUAGAAAAUGAAAACACACUACCUAUUAUUAUUGCGGCUGAUUUGGAUGAGCAAUAGGUAAACACAAUUAUUUCAGUACUUCAGAGGCACAAUAGGGCUAUAGGUUGGACCAUCGCAGACAUUAUUGGCAUUCCCCGAGGCAUCUGCACGCAUAAAAUUCAACAUGAGGAAAAUUAUAUUCCAACCAUAGAGCAUCAGCGUCGUCUUAAACCACCAAUGUAGGAGGUAGUUAAGAAAGAGAUUAUUAAGUGGUUGGAUACAGGAGUGGUUUACCCUAUUUCUGACAGAAGCGGGUGAGCCCAGUUCAAUACGUGCCCAAAAAAGGACAUGAUGGUGGUUGCUAAUGAAAAAGAAUGAGUUGAUUCCACUCAGGACUGUAACUGGGUGCAGAGUUUGUAUGGACUACCGCAAGCUAAAUUCUUGGACUUUGAAAAAACACUUCCCGAUGCUCUUUAUGGAUCAAAUGCUUGAUCGAUUGGCUGGAAGGGGGUGGUAUUGUUUCUUGGAUGGUUAUUCUAGAUACAACCAAAUCUGCAUUGCUCCUAAAGAUCAGGAUAAGACGACAUUCAUAUGCCCAUAUGGCACCUUUGCAUUUAAGAGGAUGCCAUUUGAGCUAUGCAACACGUCCACCACUUUUCAACGGUGUAUGAUAUCUAUCUUUUCAAACAUGGUGGAGGACAACAUAGAGGUAUUCAUGGAUGAUUUCUCUGUGGUGGGUGAUUCAUUUGAGAUGUGUUUGGAAAAUUUGAAUCUAGCCUUGCAGAGAUGCGUUGAAUUUAAUUUGGUGCUUAACUGGAAAAAAUGUCAUUUCAUGGUAAAGGAGGGGAUCGUUCUCGGCUCUAAAAUUUCUGAAAAGGGGAUAGAAGUUGAUCGAGCAAAAGUGGAAGUUAUUGAGAAACUACCACCUCCCAUUUCAGUUAAGGGAGUGCGUAGUUUUCUUGGACAUGCUGGCUUUUAUUGGAGAUUUAUAAAAGACUUCUUGGAGGUUACAAAUCCACUUUCCAAACUUUUGGAGAAAGAAGUGAAUUUUUCCUUCGAUGAUGAGUGCUUGAAGGCAUUUGAAUGCCUUAAAAAGAAGCUGGUUGAGGCCCCUAUUGUUGUUGCACCUAACUGGUCAAAACCAUUUGAGAUAAUGUGUGAUGCCAGUGGUGUUUCCCUUGGAGCUGUAUUGGGACAAAAGAAGAACAAACUAUUUCUUCUGAUAUAUUACGCCAACAAAGCACUGAAUGGAGCAUAAAAGAAUUAAACCGUCACUGAACAGGAACUUCUGGAUUUAGUGUAUGCUUUUGAGAAGUUCAGAGCUUAUCUUCUUAGGACCAAAGUGGUGGUCCACACCGACCAUGCAGCCUUGAGGUAUCUGAUGUCUAAGAAGGAUGCAAAACCAAGGCUGAUUAGAUGGGUAUUACUGCUGUAAGAAUUUGACUUUGAGGUCAAAGAUAGGAAAAGUUGUGAAAACUUGGUUGCAGAUCAUCUGUCUAGAAUGGAAGGUGAACAAGAAAUUAGUGAUGAAACAAAGAUAAAUGAUGCAUUCCUUGAUGAGGACAUCCUGGCUGCCGCUGUGGAAAAACUGCCUUGGUAUGAGGAUUAUGCAAAUUAUGUCGUGAGUGAAGUCAUCCCAAAAAACCUUUCUUGACAUCAAAGUAAGAAAUUCUUGCAUGGUAUGACUCAUUACUUCUGGGAUGAACCGUAUCUUUUUUGGAAAUAUGCGAACAAUAUUAUAAGGAGAUGCAUACCGAAAGUGGAUGUAUUCUGCAUAUUGGAAGCAUGUCAUUCUUCCCCAAUUGGGGGUCACCAUGCAGGCGACCGAACAACUAGGAAGGUGUUGCAGAGUGGCUACUACUGGCCAACAUUUUUCAAGGAUGCCCACGAGUUUGUGCUGAAAUGUGACCAAUGUCAGAGGCAGGGGUCAAUCUCCAAACGACACAAGAUGCCCUUGACUAAGAUGCUUGAAGUGGAAUUGUUUAAUGUCUGGGGCAUUGAUUUCAUGGGUCUUUUUAUAAGAUCGUAUGGGAUGAAGUAUAUUUUAGUUGCUAUUGACUAUAUCCCAAAAUAGGUUGAAGCUGUAGCAUUGUCUGAUAAUGAAGGGAAGAGGAUUUUUGCUUUUCUCAAGAAGAACAACUUAUCUCCCCUUGAAGUACCACGUACUAUUAUAAGCGAUGGAGGACCUCAUUUUUGCAACAAACUAUUUUGAGCAUCUUUAGCAAAAUAUGGGGUAAAGAAGCAUUGAGUGGCUGCUCUAUACCACCCAUAAACCAGUGGGCAAGUGGAGGUGUCAAAUCAAGAGAUUAAAGCCAUCCUAUCCAAAAUGGUGAAUGCUAGCCAGAAAGAUUGGUCUCGAAACCUCGAUGAUGCUUUGUGGGCAUAUCGGACUGCAUUCAAGACACCCAUUGGCAUGUCACCAUUUCAGCUGGUCUAUGGAAAAGCUUGCCACCUACCAAUAGAGCUGGUGCACAAAGCCUUAUGGGCACUCAAAAGGCUGAAUUUAAAUUAGAAGGUGACAACAGAGCUAAGACUAAGGCAACUGAAUGAGAUGGAUGAAUUCCGUAUCAAGGCAUAUGAACAAUUAGAUCUGUAUAAAGAAAAGAUGAAAAAUACCAAAAUUGGAGGAUAGAGAAAUGAGACUUCCAAAAGGGUGACAUGGUGCUUCUGUUCAAUUCCAGACUCAAAUUGUUCCUAUGUAAGCUGAAAUCUAAGUGGUCAGGCCCUUUUAAAGUUAGCCAAGUCUACUUAUCUAGAGUAGUGGAACUUGAAAACAAUGAUGGCAGUACCUUCAAGGUAAAUGGGCAACGUGUAAAGCUUUACAUUGGUUCAAAAGAAUCAAUGAAAAGUAUCACCAUUAUCUGUCUUAAUGAAGUCUGAAGUAAUCAAGAUACCUGAGUCAUGCUGCGACAUUAAAUCAGGUGUUGCAUGGUGGCAAUCGAUGAACCUCAGGAUUGAUCCAUUCUAGGUAUACUCUAACCCUUAGUUUAGCUUUAUUUUCAAUUUUAAGUUGAGUGUGUAUGGUAGGAUGUUGUUGUAACAAUUUUUGGUAGAUAGUUAGGAGUAAUACAGGUACUGGAGGUAGUUAACUUGUUUUGUGACUUUUGAGCACCUCUCCAUUGAUUUAAGUUUAUAACUGUAUGAAUUGCUUUCAUUGGUGACUGAGGUACAGCUUUUUACGGCAUUAGUCUGGCGACUUGACAAUUUUUGUUGAACAAGUUGCAUGAAUUGGUUAAGUAGUGAUAUGCGAUAUAUUUGUGUGCUAUGUAUGUGUAAGGUUUUACUCAGCUCCUACUGUGUGCUGAAUCUAGAACUUUCCCUGUUAGUCCUGCCUAGGUUGUAGGAUAGGGGUCAGGAAAGGAUCAUAGGUCAUUUUUUAUUAUAACCCACUUUCAGCCUAAUGACCUUCCCAAUGUGAAUAAUAUCCCUUGAUCCCUGAUUUGAGCCUAUAUGCCUAUUUCUUUCUGUGAAACCUCUCACCUUCUCGUUUACCUUACAAUGAACCUGUUUUAGCCCUGGUCCUCCUUGGAAACUGUGCACCUUGACUUACGCAAACAGCCUAAGUUGACGGUGGCUAUCAUAGGAGUGCGUGAUACAAAAUGAGCAUGAAGAGAGGUAGAAUAAGAGAAAAGAAUAAAAAGUUAGGUGCGGUGAAAAAGGAAUAAGAAAAGAGAAAGUUGUGUGAAAGAUGAUCAAAAGAUAAUAUGAUGAUUGAAAAGACCACAUCCAUCUUGAGCAUGUGUGAUCAAUAAAAGAAGAGGAAGAAAAGAAGGUUGAGAAGUGAAACCCUAAGAGUUUAGUGUAGUGUCAAGGAGGCAUAGUCACGCUAAAAUAUCCAUGAAUAUCAUACCAGCCCCUAGCCUACAUUACAUGACUAAGAAAAGCCCUAAAAUGAUCCUAAACCUACCUUAAGAUUUGAGUACUGACUAUAAGGGCAAGCCUAUGAUAUUUGACAUGCAGUGUUUGGAACUUCACUCUGAGAGUGAGACUUGUGAUUAUCCCUAUGUUUAUGUAUGUGAAUUCUGAUAUGAGUGAAAAGGGGAUUUCUUUGUUGUGAGGGCACAUUGGGUAUGUUGCUAAGUCACUGACUUGUUCAGAUAGUCUGAUCUUGGUAUGGCAUGAUUGUUAUUGCUGAAUUUUUAUCGUAUCUUGAUGCUUGUGAGUUGCAUGGUUGUUUUUCAAAACAUCAACAGUAAGUUUUAAAUUGACUGACCUUGGAGAUGGUGAAACUAAUCUGAACUAAUAUGAGUAGUUAGCUACCAAAUUGUACUUUGUAUUCUCUUAGUUAUGUUUUAGUUGCUUGAGGACAAGCAAUUGUUUUAAGUUGAGGGUGUUGAUGUGUGAGCAUAUUCUAACACAUUUGAGGCUUUUAACUCUAAAUAAUUACAAGGUCUUGAGCAACUUUAGUUAUUUUUGAUUAGUUUAUAUUUGAUUUUAUAGUUUAAGCUGAUAUGAUAGAGAACCAACAUGAAAUUAAGCAAAGAAGUUGAAAUUUGAAGAAAUCUGAAGACAAGUGUGGCUAACGACAUUUGUGAUAAGUCGUCAAUCCUGUGAUAAGCUAUCAUGUUGGUCAUCAUCAGUAGACAGAGAAUUGGCCUAAAGUGGAAGUUGUGAUGACAUUUUGUGAUAGGCUAUCAUAAUGGUGAUAAGUUGUCGGGAAUGCCGUCAGACUUAGGCAGGACAUGAGAAUUGGAGCAAAAGUGUGACGACAUUUCUGAUAAGUCAUCACAGUCCUAAUAAUCCAUCAGAAGUUGUCAUCAACCUAAGACAGGACUAGUGCAGAUUUGAAGAAGACCUGACGACAUUCUUGAUAAGUCGUUAGGAUCCUGAUAAGGCGUCACCAAUAGUCGUCGUCUAUUCCGAGAAAAAGCUGUAACCUUGAUUUUGUUUUCUUAUUUAAGGUAAACUAUUUAAAGUUUUGUUUUAGGGUUUUCUAGAGGAUUACUAUCAUUAACAUUAUUAUCAUUAUUAUUCUAUACAAGGUCGACACUUUGAGUUUUGGACAACAUAUUUUGAUAUUUUCUCUCUUUACUUCUUGACUUGAACAACACACCUAUUUUUUGAGAUGUUAUUAUCAGUAUUUUGGGGCUUUUCCUUUGUGAUCUAAUCUGCGAUUCACCACUUAUUAUUCGUCUCUGUAAGUUUAUCUUUCAAAUCAUGAAUUCAAUUAUGUGUUUCGUUCGUUACAUCAUGAGUGGCUAAACUCCAUUAACCUGAGUUAUGGGAUCUAGGGUUAGGUCUUGAUGAGGUGCUAAUUAUUCAAGAUUCAAAAGGUGGUAGGAUUUUUUGAUAAUUCUGAAGUUUUAAUUAACGUUUGUUGAUGGCAAACAGUAGACACACCUGCUUUGAUUUGCUUGGGAAAGAAAUCAAAUAUAGUAGGAAGUGAAUUAUCAACAGGGACCCAGAAAUACUUCGUUUAAUGAUCAGCGUUGUAACAAGGUGGUUAACCUGGGGUAAAAUCUGGGCAGUAAAUAGAAAUUUCCUAAGUCCGAGAGGAUUAGGGAAUUAAACGCUUAAGUAGGUCAAGAGACAUUUAAGCAUAACAUCGAUAAAGAUAGCUUGUUAUCCUACCCACCAUGAAAUUUUGAAUCACUUUUAGCAUCUGUCAUGUACCGGAAGCCCUAGUGAACAUAAUUCUAGUUAUUUCAUAAACUUUUGAUUUACAAACACCGAAAGUAAAGUAACAAAUAACAACUUGUUAAACCUAAAUCCCCAUUUUAGGAAACAUUAAACUAUCAGUGGAUUAAAUCUCAAACAACUUGAGUUCACACCAUAUCCCCUGUGGGAUUCGACCCCAACCUAGUUGGGUUUUAUAUUUACAACGAUCGCUUACACACAUUCAAGAGUGUAAUUUGAGUGUUAUCACCUGGUUGUCUAUUGAACAAACCUUUUUCUUCAUACAAUGUUGAAUUCAAAAUAGUUAUGACACAUUGAAAAAAGUGUCAUUUUGAAAACAAUCAUCCCAAGUUAUGAAAUCAACUAUACACAUUUCACAUCGACUGGACUUAAAAUAAAAAAUGGAUCGAUACAUGGUCUAUGGGGUAUAGUUUAAACUGCAUAGUAUAUCAUCGACAAGUUGUUUAGUCUAUUAAAGAAACCCUUUUCCUCAUACACUGAAUCUUUUAAUGUAAUUAUUACACUUCGGAAAACGAUAUAAUUUGAAAUGCCUCGACUGCCACAACGCCGCGACUUUUUAUUUACAAUUCCCACAUACCUUCUCCAUUUCCAUCAACACGUGUACAACUACUAUUGGUCAGUUGUCUCAUUCUCUGGUCUAUUUAAAGAGGCCCUUAUCGAUUUUAAAACAAAUUUCUAAAGAAAAGACUAAGGAGAGAAGAAGAGUGCUAGGAGGAGAUACACACUAUGAUCAAUGCACAGAAUGAUAAUCAUUGACAACAUAGAGUUUCUUAGGCUUCGAGUGACCUGGAUUUUCUUUUCCAGGGUCUUACCGUGGACAGAGAGCUCCGAAAGAUAGCUCAUUUUAUUCGGGCCAUAGCUGAGAGGCUCAACCUGAACCCCCGUGAACCCAUCCCCCCCCCCCCCCCUUAUCUCACUAGUCUAGUCUAGUUUAGUUUAGUUUGUUUUGAAGUUCAUUGUUGAAUGAAGCUUUCAUGGUAGGAUUAUGUAAAUGAAAGCUUCAUUUUUUGUCUUUUUUUUUGGGAUUUUUUUUUUCAAAAAUUGUAAAUAUAGAUGCAAUGAACUUUAUCUAUCUAUAAACAAGUUUAUGUUUUCAUGAUAUUCUAUUUAUCUAUAAUGAUUUUAUGUCUUUCAAUCUUUGUUAAUUCUUCAGUAGUACAUGUUUAAAGAUUUGCAAACACUAUUUAAACUCGGAGUACAGUACGAAUAUAAAAUCGACUAUGCUAAAUACGAAUUAUAUACAUUCAAUACAAAUAUAUACUAGGUUACGUAUGAAUUAUAUACUAAUAUCAGUGUUGAUGAUCCUAUGUAUUGACAUAUUAUCGAUUUCGACUGAGGUCGUCGAUUAUAGACCUAUCAUACAGUCUAUAAUCAACUUACUGAAUAUAUUGACAGCUUAAAAUAAUGGCAAAAAAAAGAGAAAUUAAAUAAAAUAAAAUUAGAGUAUGUCAAUUAACACCAUUAAAAUAUUGUAAAGCAAUUUUGAUACAUCAAUUGUAACUCUCAAUCACUUUUGGAUGUGAUCAAGUGUUAUUUAAGACACGGUGUAGUCGUAGAUCAUUGAAAUGACACAAAAAGGAGAAGAAAUAAAAUAAAAUAAAAUAAAAUAAAUAUUAAUCAUCCAAGCACUAAAGAAUGACUACAUAUCAUGACAAGAGAUUAAAUGUGUGUGGUGACCAUAAGAAAGAGUGGUGGUUGUCACUUGUGAGUGUUCAAUGGACAAGUAGUGUCUAAGAACAAGGAGUCCUUCUCAACAGAGACGCUUGUUCUGAGUAAUUGAUUGUCACUACCAUUGCCUCCCCUAUACUCAUUUGAUCGAGUGUCCAAUUAUUUUGUAAUCUCAUAUUAUGAUAUUUAGUCACUUUACAUUGUGUGAAUGAUGUUUAUUUAUUUUAUUUUAUUUUAUUUCUCUCUUUUUUUAAUCUCACAUCCUUUGAAAAUAGACCUAUAAUGAUAUUUUGAGUAUAUUAUAGAUAAUUAGCUUUAUCCAUAUCAGACUAUAUUAUUAGUGAUGUAUUGAUCAAUUGAGUCUAUUUUCAAAGGAGGUGGGAUUAAAAAAAUAAAAUAAAUAAAUAAAUAAAUUAACAUCAUUCACGCAAUGUAAAGUGACUAAAUAUCAUAAUAUGAGAUUAUAAAAUAAUUGGACACCUGAUCAAAUGAUUAUAGGGGAGGACAAUGGUAGUAACAACCAAUUACUCAGAACAAGCAUCUUUGUUGAGAAGGACUCCUUGUUCUUAGACAUUACUUGUCCAUUGAACACUCACAAGUGACAACCACCACUCUUCCUUAUGGUCACCAUACACGUCUAAUCUCGUGUCAUGAUAUGUAGUCGUUCUUUAGUGAUUGGAUGAUUAAUAUUUAUUUUAUUUUAUUUUAUUUAUUCUCAUUUUUGUGUCAUCUCAAUGAUCUACGACUACACCGUGUCUUAGAUAACACUUGAUCACGUCUAAAAGUAAUUGGGAGUCACAUUGAUGUAUCAAAAUCGCUUUACAAUGUUUUAAUGGUGUUAAUUGACAUACUCUAAUUUAAUUUUAUUUAAUUUCUCCUUUUUUGCCAUUAUUUUAAGCUGCCAAUAUAUUCAGUAAGUUGAUCAUAGAUGGUAUGAUAGGUCUAUAAUCGACCUUAGUCUAAAUCAAUAAUAUGUCAAUAUAUAGGAUCAUCAACACUGAUAUCAGUAUAUAAUUCAUACGUGACCCAGUCGAUUGUAGAAGACAUAAAAAUUAUUUAAAGACCCUUUGAAGUAAAUGAUAAUCCAUUUAAUAUUCUCUCCAACGGUACAAUUCAAACGGUCAGAUUUUGGUAGCCCUACUGUAUUAAUUAAAGGGACCCUUUUGAACUCCUCCAUGUUCAUUUAUUCAUCACUUUCUAUUUUUUCUUCAACAAUAACAAUGUUGUAGUCAUAUCAAACAUUCAAAUGUUCUUAUAUUUAUCAUUGUGGUAAUCCUGCGGUGUUGAAAAUAUUACGAACCAACAAGAAUUCGAGUCGAAAAUUCUACAGUUGUGCGGUUGGAAAGGUUUGUUUUUUUUUAAAUAGAAUUUAUUUUUGUUCAUCACAUAAUCCAAUUUACUAAUUUAUCCUUCUUUUUUUAGGAUAAUGGUGGAUGCUCUUAUUUCAGGUGGCUUCCCUCCGAUUUUGAGGUAUCAAAAUUUCAAGGCGUUGCAAGUUUGAAAUGUUGGAAAGAUUUAGAGAUUUCAAAGAAAAUAAGGAUCUUCUUAUGACAAUUAUAUAGAGAAUCAGAACACAAGAUUGAUUACUUAAAGGGAUUGUUGAAAGACGUCAAAAUUGAGAGGGAUCAACUUAAGCAUAGGUUGGCUAUGGCUGAAGAAAAAGAAAAGGGCAUGAAAAUUAUAGUGUAUGGUUUACUAUUAGUUUUAGCUUUUUGGAAAGGUGUAAUGGGGUUGUAGUGGGAUUGAAUGUAUUCUGACUCUUUUAUUAAUCGACUACUUUUUACUUAUAUUAUAUAUGGUUUACCUUUUUCAUUCAUCGACUACACAACACUCUACUGUAUAUACUUUACCUUUUAGUCAAGAUCUAUAAUUAACGAUGACAUUCAUAUAAAAGAAAUGAUACAUUGAUUAUAUAAAAUUUAUAAUGUUUAUCAUAAACUAUAAAAGCAGUUUAGAAAAUAAAAUUGCUAAGAUUGUCUAUUCUAAUAAAAAUAAUCAUCACCCACAAAUAAAAAUUAAACAUUGUCUAAACAUUCAACAUUUUCGUCUUCCACUUGCAUCUUGUCGAUGUUCUGAGUAACUUCAUUAAGAAAUUCAUCUAAAUUCAAAAAUUCAUUCUCAUUUUCUUCUUCUUUAUGUUCUUCUCCCUCUUCUUUCUCUACUUCUCUUGCAUUCUUCUCUUCUACUUUCUCUCCAUCUCCUUUACUAUUUUCUUCUACACAAACACUUUUCUCAUUUUUAUCUUCUUCAUCCUACCUGCCUUCGUCAUGAUCCUCCUUCUCCACACCAACUGAUCCAUCAACUUUGUUUUCUUCUUCACCAACAUCUUCUUCAUUUUUUUCUUCUUCUUUCACUUCAUCGCCUUCGUCGAGAUUUUUCUUCUCUACAACAGCUGCAACCUCAGGAAUCAUCACCUCAUCAGCAUUGAUCGAGGCCUGUUCCAAAGCUGCUGCCUCAAGGAGCGCUUCUUUAAUGCCGUUGUCAUCGCGGAUAGCCUUCGCCGUUGAAUGCUGACUUUGCACCUGCACACCUAUAUUUUCAAGUAUUUAUCAUUUAUAAUAAACUAAGAUAUCGGUUGAUGAAGAAUGGUAUAGAUUCUAUUAUAAGUAAAAAAAAAUUAUAUAAAAUAUGCAACUUCUAUAAUAUAUAGAGCAGAUUUUACCUUCAUCUUCAUCUUUCUUCUUUUGCUUCUCUUUUUUUGCUCUCCUCAGCCUCUCCUCUUUCACAAAAUCAACUAUGUCCUUGAUCGACUCCUCCAGCCUAAACAUGCGCUCUUCCAAAUUUUCAAUCAUCGAUAUUUUUUUUAUGCUCUUGGCUUACUCAUCCCCGCGCCCCGAGUGACAUUCCUUAAAAUAGCAUUUCCACCCAAAUCCUGGUCACCAUCCUUAUCCUCACCAUCCUUCGAUGGGGUGAUAACAGUCACACCCUCCAGAUGGGACUUCAAGCCAUCGAUGAAUGUAUCCUUCGGUUCGUCAGUGAAUGCUUUGAACUUUUUCAUGUAGUGUUGCUUCAUUUCAUGGACUGUGGGGAUAAGGUACGGGUGUACUCUCUAUAGAUAAAUAGGCAAAUGUGAUUGAUUAGCAACACAAUAUUGGUAAAAGUACUCUUCAAAAAAAUAGUUCCAUACCUUUAUGCUCCAUCUAUUCAAAUAUGGAUCGCCUUCGAUUAGUUUAUCGCCUUUUGAGGUGUGCUAUCUGAGCAAUCGGGGAAUGGACAACGAAUCUUCAGUUGAUUUAUCAUUUCCCCUGUCGAGCGCAAAAAAAGCUUCGUAUAUCCAAAUUUUUUAUCAAAAGAAAAAAUAAAAACAUAUAACUGAGAGUCAGUAUAGUAUAGACACCAUAGAUGAAUUACAGUAUAUAAUAAACUACUUCAAUGAUUUAUAUAUAAUAAACUACUUCAAUGGUUUAUAAUCAAACACCAUAAAUGUCCAGGGAAAUUCAUAGAGCGCAUACGAUGAAACUUUCUUUGUCACAAAUGUCUUCUUUUGCCUUCUGAAGUCUAUCCACUUCUUUAGAUAGUCUAGAGUCAAGGCAAAUUACUCCUUACCCCAAGGGUAUCUCCCAAUGAAGCUCAAGUUAUCCACCAUCUUGAUGGUGUCUAUGUCCACAAUUUUUGACAAUUUACAUGCAAGCAAUAUGCAAUGCACGAACCAAACCAAGCAACAUUUGAUCUUGUCCUCCUUGUCCAGCCUCCCACCUCUAAUAAGCUUUAACAAUCUCCUCACAUUUACACUCCUCUUUUUUGCGAUCAUUUUGAAAAAAGUUUCACCCUCCUCCAUUGCUCUAACAUAUUUUGAAUCACAUGGGAUAACACCCACAGCUUAAACCCGUGAUUAGCGCAAAUUCCUUCAGGCUAAAACAUGCAAGUCUGUCAUUGAUGCAGAAUCACAUUUCAUUCAGCUUGUUGUCCUAUUUAAAUCGGCGAAGAAAUGUAUAGUGGACAAGCUGUCCGUUGAACUUCAUAUGUUCUGGCAAGUCCCAUAAACCAUCAAAACUGAAAUUCUUAAACCUAGAUUUCAGACGCUGAUCAACCACGACUUGUUUGGAUUCAUAAAAUAUUUUCAAACGGGAUCUAACAGAUAUCUUAGCCGAAAAUAAUCCGACAUCAUCCAGGACUGUGGAGAUCGUACCUCUCAGCCAAAAUAAACCUUUCACAGUGGGGCAAGAUCAAUUCUUUCUCAUCUAUCCUAGUCUCAAUUUCUAUUUUCUCCUGCACAUCUCGAAUCGAAGCUUCAAUAGCUUCCUUGCUGCAAUUUCUAUUCUCCGAUUCAUCGACUACUCAUCUUUUUUUCUCAGACCUAUCAACUUCUACAGCCUUGCGUUUGUUACCUCUAGCCAUUUGUUAUGAUCUACAGACAAAAAAUAACAUUUCUCAACUAUAACAACAAAUACAAUACCUAAUCGACCUAGCAGUCUAUUAACAUGACAAUAGUUGCAACACCAAAAAAUCCUAUUUGCAGAAGAAGUUUUUUCCAACACAACUCCAUCACCCACAAGAAGAUGCAUCUAAAUCACCAUUAUAUUGAACAAAGACAGGAAGGAACCCAGAUUUUUAGCAUGAAAAUCGAAAAAAAUUGGCAAAAAAAUUUCAAUGCAAUCAUCGAGGGAAAUUAAAAUCCAACAAAAACAAUGCACAAUCAAACGAACUACCAACUUAAAAACAUAAAUUUUAAAUAAAAUCAAGCCCCAUUUUUUCAAAAAAAAUUCAAUUUUUCGGGUCCAAAUAUUAAAUAUGAGUAUGAUUCAAACCAAGGAAUCCCAACAUGAACAUGCUUCUACAACACCAUUACAUUGGACAAAAGUUUGAACAAAAAUCACAUAUCUUGCUACAUUCUGACGAAAUUAGUGAAGAAAUUUCAACAUGCAAUCACCAAGGAUAAUCGAUAGACACUAGUUAUCCAUCAACAAUCAAGUAAAGACCAACUAAAAACAAUCAAUUUCAGUAAAAUCAAGUCCUGUUUAAAAAAAAAAUUCUUUUUCUUAACUCCAACGAGUUCAACCGCCACAAACGAAUUCGAAAAAAAAAAACAUCAAUAUGGAGCACAAAUUAACCGAAAGAUGAAUAUAACUUACCUGAAGUUGAAGAUCGAAGUUGGAGAUUAUUUACACAAGCUCGAAAUUGAAAAAUGGUAGAAAGGAGAGAUGAAGUGGGAGAGAGUAACGAGAAAAGAUGAGAGAGAUUUUAUUUUUUUUUGUAUUUAAUAGAAGAGUGGGGUUAAAAAUAUAUUUAAUAAAUACAUACGGGGUUCCAAAAGAUUUAGUAAAUACAUAAGGGAUGCCAAAAGAUUUUUCUAUUUUACACUUGAACCCAUACCCCACAAAACCCUAAAAAAUUAGAUCAAACGAAAAAAGGUGUCUAUUCUUCAAAAUAUUUUUUGAAAGUGGACUUUCAACUAAAUCUUCUCAGCAGAUUGUAUCGUGUUUCAUGGGCUGAGAUGGGUUGGAUCAACAUGAGCUAAACAAGAGGUCAUAAUCCGACGUAUCCAACUCUUACCAUGUUUUAAUUUUUAAAAUUUUUAGGUGAUCUAUUUAAGUACCUAAUAAUUAAUUCUCUUUGUUGUUGUUUUAUAUAAUAUAUCAAACAAAAGAUUGUUAAAAAUGAUUUGAUAAGGUUUUGCAUGGGUUAAUUUGGUACGUAGACAUCUUAAAUCAGUCCAGUUUUUAAAUAGGCUAAAUUUGACGGAUCAAAAUCAAUUGACUUUAUAGAAUUUUUCUGUUAAUUUAAUUUGUUGCAGUUUUCUUCCUCGAAAGCAAUCUUGUUACAGCUUGGUUGUAUUCAUUUCUCAUCUAUAAGAUUUAGUUAGCAACUGAAUAUUAAUAUUCGAAGAAAACCGCCACUAACCCUUUUUCUCUUCCUAGCUCCCUUCUCAAGUAUACGUCUUCUAAGGUAAUUGAUCAAACUAGCUUACUGUAAUGGUCAAAUCUGGCCAUCGUCUAACACGGUUCCUGAAGUCUAGAGAUACCAAUUAACCCCGCACCCCCAACCCAUGUGCGAAACCCAAGAAAGAGAAAAAGUAGUCUUGAGGGAUAAAAAAGGUGAUGCUUCAGAGUUUUGCAACUCCACAUGAUUCAUGAUUCAGGGAAAGAGUGCGCAAAAUUACCCGCUAAUAUCGUUGAUUAACUGAACCUUUUAUCAGUCAUAUUAUUUAUUCCCUUUUCACAGAUUUUAUCCCUUUUUGUGGAAACUCAACAUAAAUUAUAAUUGUCUUUCCAGAGUAAUAAUUAGAGGUUAUGUACCUUUAUUCUGUGCAACUGAUGACUUUUUUGUCCAUAAAGGCAUUAAUCUAAGUCUUGCUUUUGCGUAACUUGCAGUUCAGUUACAAUGACUUUUCAAAGUCUACAACGUGAUUUUGGCAUAUCAUUAAUUUGUGUUUCUUACAUCCAAAAGUAAUUCUAUUUUACUUUGUCUAGAACCUAGAAUUACCCCCAUAAUUGCCGCUCCUAGAGUUUAAAAUCUAAACUAUUUUUUUUUUUUCUUUUUUUGAAAUAAUUCAUGUCAAACCGCAAGAUACAGUGCAUGAAAAGAGUCAUUAUAUACACCAAAGUUUAAAGAAUUGUUGCUAAUUUAACUAUUGCAGUAGGAUAUUGAAUUACCUUACUGUUUAAUUUAAGUUACUAAUUCACGCUUGCCAUAUCAACGUAAUACGGUUGAUUUUAAACUAAUCUUGUAAAAACUUAUUUGCAAUUGUUUAAUUAUCAAAAUUAUUGAUGUGACUCCCCAUUGUCUUUUUAUGCCAAAACGAUGGGCUCCUAGCAUGUCUCUUUCAGUUCACAUAAAAUUUGUAUUUGCUUAUCAGAUAAAAUUAAACAUAGUGUUAACUUGUAGAUUAUGCAUGUGAACCUAUAUCUUUGUCAAGUCGUGUUGAAAUUCCCAGAAAACAGCCACUAGCCCUUCCACCACCUGAAGGUAAACGUGUACUUGACAAUAAAUUAGUAAGUAACGAAAAUUUGCCCGCACUUAUACCUCCCUUUUCUUCCUCCCUCCCCAAGUAUACGUCUUGAUCAAGCUGGCUUAUAAUUGCAGUAUGUUAGGGUCGAAAUAAUCAAGUUGUCAUGUAAAACCAAACAAAGCAAACCUCAAAAGAUGCUAAAUAAGAAGAUAAAUGAGAAAUAUAUCAAAAGAGACAAUAAUUUAACGUAGUUUGGUCAAUCAAUCUACAUCUACAAAAAGAGAUGAUGAGUACAAAAUAUCGAGAGAAAUAACCUAAAAAAUUCACUCAGAAUAAAAAGAAGUUCACGAAUGUGGAAACCAUAACACUUGUGUGUCACAAAUUUUCAAAGCCCUUAAAGAAUGAGCUCUAUUUAUAGUCAUAAAUCUUUUCCUUCAAGGAAGAAUUAUGGAAAUUUUGUGUUCUCCUUUUAAGAAAAGAAAGCAACUGAUGACUUUUCAGUCCAGGAGGCACUAAUUUAAUCUUUGCUUUUGUGUAACAUGCAGUUCAUUUACACUGACUUUCCAAAGUCUACGGCGUAAUGCGGGCAUGUCCUCAAUUUGUGGUUAAUACAGUGAAAAGUAAUUUUAUUUUGCUUUUGUCUAGAAACAUAGAGUUACUCACUUAAUCGUGCGCUGCAAGAGUUUAAAAUCCACAUUUUAAAAAAAAAAUCAUGGUAAGCCGGACUAGUAGCAAAUGAUUCUAGUAAAUAGAUAUUGUUUCGUAGAAUUGAUUGUUCUUUCUUUCUCUUCUUCUAGAGGGAAUGAUAAUUCGUGCAUGAAAAAAAAAAUAAGUAAAGUUAUUAUAUACUCCAAAAGCAUAAAGAAUUGUUGAGCACUAGCUAGUUUAACUAGCUAGCUGCCGCAGUAUAAAGAAUUACCCCUCUGUUUAAUUUUACUAAUUCACAGCAGCCUUACUAUAUAAACGUACUAGCUGAUUUUAGACUAAUCUUGUACAUAAAAUUGUUUGCCAUUGUUCAAUUAUCAAAUUAUUAAACAUAGUUUUAUCUUGGUAUAUUAGGCAUGUGACGACGUGAAAAUCUAUCUUUGUCAAGUCGUGCUGAACAUAUAAACAAAAUUUUUAACCCUCAUUUUUCUAUGGUGCUAAUUUUGACAAUAUUUUCUUCCACUGCCCACAUUCACGGGCUAACCACAAACUUCUUUGUUUUGCUGCCAAGAUUUUCUCUUCUUUUUUUACUUUUUUUGUCAAGAUAUGCCUAUAAAUACCAAAGACAUCUCACAUCUCCAAAUCAUAAACACAAUCAACUUCUCUAUUUCCCUCCAAUUUGUGUCAAAAAGCAAAGCAAAAAGAAAUGGAGAUCUCAAAGCUUUCAACCUUUGUUGUGUUCAUGGUUUUAGCCAUGGCUCAUUCUUCACUUGCCCAAAACUCGCCCAAGGAUAUCGUUUUAGCCCACAACAACGCCCGCGCACAAGUUGGUGUCCCACUCCCACCACUAACAUGGAACGACACAGUUGCUGCCUAUGCCAAUCAAUAUGCAUCCACCAGAUUAGCUGAAUGCACCUUGGUGCAUUCAGAUUCACCCUAUGGUGAAAAUCUUGCCAUGGGCUAUGGCGACUUUUCGGCUGUCGAGGCCGUUAACAUGUGGGUCGGAGAGAAACCAAACUACGACUAUGACUCCAACUCUUGCAAACAAGAUAUGUGUGGCCAUUAUACUCAGGUGAUCUGGAAAAACACCCUUCAAGUUGGAUGUGCAAGACUGAAAUGUGAUAAUGGUGAAGCCUGGUUUGUGUCAUGCAACUAUUAUCCCCCUGGGAAUUACAUCGGAGAGAAACCUUAUUGAUUAAUUAAUUAAUUGUGAUGCAUGGUUACAAUAAUUUUAUAGUAAUUGCAUUACUUUCAUCCCAUGUUAGUCAAGUACGUAUAAUAUAGGUUCCAAUUUCGGCUUGUAAUAUGGGAAGUUGUCCUUACCUGCCCUGAGACAAAAUGGAAUUUAAAUAAUAAAUUAAAGACUAAUUUUGGAUCAAGUAUAUUCUUUAUGAUCAUCAGGUUACAUCUUCUCUUCAAUAAAUAUUUUCUUAGCAAUUUCAACAUUUUGUUAUAUCAUGAAGAUCUGCUAGAUAACUUUAUUCAAUGUUGCGUUGGGAUAGAGUUAAAUCUCGUUGAUUUAAAGGAAAAAUUAGAUAUAAUUAAUCAAACACAGCUACUAUGUUUACUAUACAUAUAUAUCGCUAUAGAUUAACUAGACAUAACUAUAAUUAGGUUUUAUAGCUUCUCGAUCUCUCCUAUAUAUAUCUUCCUCUCUCUCUCCCCCCCCCCCCCCCACCCCCCCUAUGACUAAGAAAAAAGAAACUAAGAAAAGCACAAUACAUCAGACUCUUCCCCUUCCCUCCCUCGCUCUGAUCUCCCCUGGAUCUCUCUUUCCUUCUUUACGACUAAGAAAAUGAAGAAUAAGAAGCAGAUUGUAUAAUGUUUUAUGGCUUGAGAUGGAUUGGAUCAACAUGAGCUAAAGUAGAUCAUAAUCCGACAUAUUCAAUUCUUACCAUGUUUUAAUUUUUUGAUGAUCUAUUUAAGUACGUAAUAAUUUUCUCUUUGUUAUUGUUAUAUAUAUCAUAUAAAAUAAAAAGUUUAAACAAAAUGUUUUGAUGAGGUUUUGCAUGGGUUAAUUAGGUGUACAUCAUAAAUCAGUCCAAUUUUUAAAUAAGCUGAAUUUGGCGGAUCAAAAUCAAUUGAUUUACAUACUAAAUGUAGAAUUUCUCUGUUAAUUUAAUUUGUUGCAGUUUUCUUCCUUGAGAGCAAUCUUGUUACAAGUUGGUUGUACUCAUUUCUCAUCUAGAAGAUUUAGUUACCAACUGAAUAUUAAAAUUCCCUGAAAACAGCCACUAGCCCUUCUAAGUUCCUCCACCUGAAGGUAAACGUGCACUUGACACUAAAAUAGUAAGGGACUAAAAUUUGCCUAGACUUAUACCUCUUUUUUCUUCCUCACCCCCACCCCCACCCCACCCAAGCUUACGUCUUGAUCAAGCUGGCUUACUGCAGUAUGUUGGAUCGUAAUAAUCAGGUUGUCAUAUAAAAUUGAACAAAGCAAACCUUGAAAGAUGUUGAAUAAGAAAACAAAUGAGAAAUAUCAAAAGAGAUAUAAUAAUUUAGAGAUUAACUAAUAUACACUGACAGUGUAUGCUUAUUUUACACUGUCAGGUUAUUUUAACUCGCUAUUUCCGGUGACAUCUCUUUUCUUUUAAUUUUUGGAAUGAUCAUUCCCUUAAUCUCCUCCUGAUUUUUUUAUGCGAAUCUUAGUCUUUCGUUCAUCUUUUAUACCACUUUGGCCCUUCCCACUCUCUCCCUCUGGACUUUGUUCACAGCCCUCCAAGUUUGUAUCUCUAAAUGAAUAAAUCAAUGAGAAAAAAAAAAAUCAAUUUUUGUAUUUGAGUCGGAAGCAUUUAUUCACAAUGGAAAAUUUAAUAAAUUUGAGUAAUAUUUUAGGACUCGUUUGGUAUCAGGGAUAAUGGAUAACUAAUUUUGAAAAUUAAUUUUAAAAUGAAUUUAUCUCAUGUUUAAUUGAAAUAAAAUUUCAAAAUAACUUAUUUGCGACCAAACGAGCCCUAAAUGUAAAAUUUAAUAUGUUAAUAUAUAUCACUUUGUAAAUUUCUCAAGUUUAUACAACUCUAAAAUCUGUCAUGAAAAAAAACAUAAUAAGUAAAAAGUUAUUAUAUUCAUAUAAUUUUUGUAAAUUUCUCAAGUUUAUACAACUCUAAAAUCUGUCAUGAAAAAACAUAAUAAGUAAAAAGUUAUUAUAUUCAUAUAAUUUAUAGAAUUGUGCUGUUGAUCGCCUCAAAAUACAUCAAUGAAUUUGAUGAUGUUGAUGACACAAUGAUAAAGUAGAACUAAAUAAUGAAGAAGAUGAUAAAAGCCGCACAUCCUUUAAAAAAAUUGGUAAGAUAGGCCAUAAAAUAAAUUUGGAUAGAAUUAAUUCAAAGUUCAAGUUACCUUAUUACACUAAUUUCCUUAUUUAUAAUCAAAUAUUACAAGAUAAAUAAUUGAAAAUUUAUCUAUUUUAAUGCUUUAGAUUUACCUAACAGUGUAAAAUAAGCAUACAACUGUCAGUAGAUAUUAGUUAAUCUCAAUAAUUUAACGUAGUUUGGUCCGAUCUACAUCCACAAAAGAAAAUAAAUAAUUCACUAUAUAAAAAAAGUAUAAAAUAUCGAAAGAAAUAACCUCACAAAUUCACUCAACAUAAAAAGAAUUUCACAAGUGUGGAAACAUAACCUUAUGUGUGACAAAUUUUCAAAACCCUUAAAAGAAUGAGCUCAAUUUAUAGGGUCAUAAAUCUUUUCCUAUGAGAAAAUUAUAGAAAUUUUGUGUUUUCUAUUUAAAAAAACAAGGAGAAAUUAUUUGGAUUAAUUAUUAUUGGGCUUUUAUUAUCAUUUAAAGCCUAAUUUUUAAUUAAUUACAAUUCAUAGCCUUCUCUUACCUAUUAAUUAUUCCUAAUUAUAAUUCAUAACUUUUCUUAUGUAUUUUCUCUCUUUUUCUAUUUUCUAUUAUUCUCUUCUCGUUUUUUUUCCUUUUUCAAUUUUUUUUCUCCUUUUUUUUGUUGCUUUCUCUUUAUUUUUUAUUUUUUCACUUUUUUUCUUUUUUAUUCAUUUAUUUUUUGUAGCCUUACAGUUACACGCUACCAUAAUUGUGGCCUAAACCAUAUUUUCUUUCUAUUUUUUCAUCUUUUUCUAUAUUUCUUUUUUUUUUCAGCCCUUUUUUGCUUCUGCAUUUUCUUUUAUUAUUUUUUCGUGCUUUUUUAUUUUUUUGGUCAUUUUCUCUUCUUUUUUAUUUUCUUAUAUUUUUUUCGUUUGUUGUUGUAUUUUAUAUUUAUAUUUUUUUGUAUCAUACUAUGUAUUUUAAAUAAAUGUAUUAUUUGUAGUUGAAUAGUUUAGUUGUCAAUAUGUAUAAAUUAUCAUUCGUAUUUUUCUAUAUAAAUAAGUAUAUUGAUUAAUUUUUUUUGUUUGAGAUUAAAAUAUAUAAAUAUGCAAUUUGUCUUUCAAUGCAAAUAUAUCAUUGUAUUUUGUAUUUCAAAUUUAUCAUUUAUAUUUGUAUAUAAAUAAGUAUCAUUUUAUAUGCAUAUGGUUCAAGUUGUAUAAACAUGUGUCGUUGAUACAGAUGCAACAUUUGUAUUUAUAUAAUUUAUUAUUUUUAUUUUUAUUAUGAUACAAAUUGUAUCAAUAAAUGUAAAUCAAGUCUUCAUAGAAAGAAAAAUAAUAAGUUUUUUCUAAUGUUUAAAGAUACAAAUGAUGUUGUUAACUACAAAUUCAAAUACAAACAAAUGAAAUUACAAAUACAAAUACAAUAUACGAUCAACUUAUAAAUAUAAAUUUAAAAUAANNNNNNNNNNNNNNNNNNNNNNNNNNNNNNNNGAAAAUAGAAUACAAAUACAAAUAUAAUCUAAAUAUGCAAACACAAUAAAACCACAAUACAAAUAUAUUCCAAUAUAAUAUACAAUCAAUUAUAAAAUACAAAUACAAAUAUAAAAUAAUUUUAAAAUACAAGUGCGAAUUAUAUAAAAUAUAAAUGAUGGUGCGAACUAACAAAUACAAAUACAUGUGUGAACUAUAAAAUACAAAUAUAAUGUGAACUACAAAAUACAAAUAUAAACGUGAACUUUAAAAUACAAAUACAAAUGCAGUUGUAUCAACGAAUACAAAAUAUAAAUGACGGUGUGACUACAAAUAUGAUAAAUAAUUGUGGCAUUUACGUUAUCAUUCAUGACUUGUGCUCGAGUAGUCAUAUUUUUUGAAAAUACAAAAAAUAUAAAAUAGAAUAAAAAAAUGAUAAAGAAAAUAAGUACAAAAAAAUAUAAAAAAAAAUUAAAGAAGAAAAGAAAAGAAGAAAGAGAAAUGGAAGUUAGAGAUAGAAGAAAGAAAAAAAUAAAAAGAAAAAAAAUGAAAAAAAUAAAAAUUGUAAAAAAUAGAAAAAGAAGAUGAAAAAAUGAGGAAAACACGACAAAAGAAAAAAUAUAAGAAAAUGAAAAAGAAAAAAAUGAUAAUAUUUUUUGCGAGACUAAAUAUGUAGUGUAUUUAUGUUUUUAUGAAUACAAACUACUAAGUAAAAGUGAAUAUAUACAAUAUCUGUGAAUCGAAUACAACGGCUAAAUACGGACUGUAUUCAUAUAAAAUAUGAAUACAGCGAGCGUAAAUCGAAUACAGCGGGUAUAAAUUGUAAUUAUAUAAAAUGUGGCUAUAAAAGGUGGGUUUUAUAACAAAAUACUAAAGAUAAAAAAAAAAUCCAUUUAUGAUAAGAAAAUUAAGAAACAAAGUCCACUAAUAAAAACAAAGUUUAAUUUUGCAACUGAUGACUUUUCUGUCCCCGAGGCAAUAAUUUAAUCUUUGCUUUUGUAUAACAUGCAGUUCAAUUACUAUGAUUUUCCAAAGUCUACAACCUGAUUUGAGCAUGUCCUCAAUUUGUGAUUCAUACAUUGAAAAGUAAUUUUAUUUUACUUGUAGAAACCUAGAGUUACUCCCUUAAUCGUGCGCUCCAAGAGUUUAAAAUCAACAUUUAAAAAAAAAAAAAAAAUUGUGGUAACCCGAACUAGUAGCAAGUAGAUGAGAUAUUGGUUGAUCUUUCUUUUUCCUUCUAGAGGGAAGAUAAUUCGUGCAUGGAAGAAAAAUAGGUAAAGUUAUUAAAUACACCAAAAGCAUAAAGAAUUGUUGAGCACUAGCUAGUUUAACUAGUUGCAGCAGGAUAAAGAAUUACCCCUUGUUUAAUUUAAAUUACUAAUUCGCGGCACACUUACUAUAUAAACGUACUAAGCUGAUUUUAGAUUAAUCUUGUUUCUUGUACGUAAAAUUUUUUGCCAUUGUUCAAUUAUCAAAAAAUUAAACAUAGUUUUAGCUUGGUAUAUAUUAGGCAUGUGACGACGUGAAGAUCUAUCUUUGUCAAGUCAUGCUGAACAUUAAACACAUACACUCUCAUUUUUCUAUGAUGCUAAUUUUGACAAUAUUUUUUUCGAACUGCCCACAUUUACGGGGUAACCACAAACUUCUUGUUUUGCUGCCAAGAUUUUCUCCUCCUUUUUACUUUUUUUUUUUUUAUCAAUAUAUAUACCUAUGAAUACCAAAGCCAUCGUCUCACUUCUCCAAAUCACAAACACAAUCAAUCACCUUCUCUAUUUCCAUCAAAUUUGUCUCAAAAAGCAAAGGAAAAGGAAAUGGAGAUCUCAAAACUUUCAACCUUUGUUGGGUUCAUGGUUUUAGCCAUGGCUCAUUCUUCACUCACCCAAAAUUUGCCCGACGAUAUCGUUAUAGCCCACAACAACGCCGGCCCGUGCACAAGUUGGUGUCCCACUCCCAGCACUAACAUGGAACGACACAGUUGCUGCCUAUGCCAAUCAAUAGGCAUCCACCAAAUUAGCUGAAUGCACUUUGGUGCAUUCAGACUCAUCCUAUGGUAAAAAUCUUGCCAUGGGCUACGGUGACUUUUCAGCAGUGGAGUCCAUUAACAUGUGGGUAGGAGAGAAACCAAACUACGAUUAUGACUCCAACUCUUGCAAACAGGAUAUGUGCGGGCAUUAUACUCAGGUGAUCUGGAAAAACACCCUUCAAGUUGGUGUGCAAGAUUAAAAUAUGAUAAUGGUGAAGCAUGGUUUGUGUCAUGCAACUAUUAUCGCCCUGGGAAUUACAUCGGAGAGAAGCCUUAUUGAUUAAUUAAUUAAUUGAGAUGCAUGGUUACAGUAAUUUUAUAGUAAUUGCAUUACUUUCAUCCCAUGUUAGUCAAAUAUGUAUAAUAUAGGUUCCAAUUUCGGCAUGUAAUAGGGAAGUUUUCCUUAGCUGCCCCUGAGAAAAAAUGGAAUUUAAAUAAUAAAUUAAAGACUAAUUUUGGAUCCAGUAUAUUCUUUAUGAUCAUCAGCUUACAUUUUCUCUUCAAUAAAUACUUUUUUUUAGCAAUUUCAACAUCUUUGAGAUAUCAUGAAGAUCUACUAGAUAACUUUAUUCAAUAUUGCGUUUGGAUAGAGUUAAAUCUCGCGGAUUAAAGGCAAACUUAGCUACUAUAUUUACUAUACAUAUAUCGCUAUAGAUUUACUAAACAUAACUAUAGAUAAUUAGGUUUUAUAAGUUCUCUCUCCUAUAUAUAUAUAUAUAUAUAUAUAUAUAUAUACUAGUUUAGGUGUACGCGCCUUGCGCGUGUACCUCACUUUAAUGAGUUCAAAUAUUAUAUUAAAUAGGAUAUUUAUUUCAAUAAUAAAGAUGAAUAGAAUAAUUAAAUUUAAUAUCUUUUGAGUAUGUAAAGAUGGAAAAUUUAUUUAUUAAACCUAAUCUUUACCAAAAAUAUUUUUAAAAUUCGAUCAUCAUUCAAUCUAAUCUUUACACACAAAAAUUUUCUAUAAGUCGUCCUACACUCAUCUACCACCUGCAAACAAUAACAAAAUAAUACGAUAAAAUAGAUGUCAAAAUAAUACAAUUAAACCUAACUUUUACAUAAAAAAAUCCUCAAAGCCGACCAACAUUUAUCUAUCACCUAUAAACUGUAACAAAUAAUACAAUAAAAGUAAUAUCAAAACAAUACAAUUAAACGUAAAUGUUACACACAAAAAUUUCUCAAAGUCGAUCGAGAUUCAUCUACGAAUUGUGAACUGCCACAAAAUAACAAAUUAAUAGAGAUAUUACGAUAAUACAAUUAAACCUAACCUUUACCUAAAAUAAUUUUCAAAGUCGUCCCACAUUCAUCUAACAUCUGUAAAUUAAAAUAAAACAAUAAGAUAAUGAAGAUAUCAAAACAAUACAAUUAAACCUAACCUUUGCACAAUAAAUUUUUCAAAGCCAACUGCGACGUUCAUCUAUAACCUGUAAACUAUAAAAAAAAAAAAUAUAAUAGUAAUCACAAAGAUUCAAUUUUGAUCAACUAAUUCAAUUUUGAAUGAAAACAAAGAAGAGAUAUAUGUACAAAUUUUGAAUACCACAAUAAAUUGAAACGGAAAAGUACCAAACUAUAAAAUAGUGAUGAUGAUUGCUUCAACGUUGAUGUUACUAAUUUGCUUCAAUGGGUGUUGAAUAAUAAUAAACUGAAAAUUUACAUCAAUGAAAAUAAGAACACAGUGGAUGCUAAGAAUUCAUGUAUGCAUAUAUUGAGUCCAAAUUAUCUUCUACAACUAAUUUUUUAAUUUAUAAUUUUAAUUUUAAAAAAUAAAAAUAAUUAAAACUUGCCUUUAAUGGGAAGAUUGAAGAUUAAAAGUUGGCUCACAGAGAAGGAAUUAAUCAAAGGAAAUAAUUGUAAGAAAAUAAAAAAGGAAAAAAAAUGGCUCCUGCUAUUACCCCUUGAAAUUAGCUGGCCGUGUAAAAAUAAAAUUCCACUGGCUGUGCAUAUUAUAGAAAGGAAAUUCAAUAUUUAUAGAAAUAAUUUUCUUAAUACAGUCCUAUUUUGGAAGUAUUUUUUUAAUUAAAUAGUACAAAAAAUAUUAAUUAAUUCGCCUACUAUAUAAUUUAGGAGUCUCAUAUAUUUUAGAAAGUCUAGUAAUAAGAAAAAUAUUUUAGGAGUCUCAUAUAUUUUAGAAAGUUUAGUUAAUAUAAUAAAAAAUAAUUAAAUAAUCAAUUAAAAAUAUAAGGGUAAACUUUUAAUAUAUUAUUAUAUAUUAUAGUUACAUAUAUAGAUAUAUAGAUUAUAGAUACAACAACAACAACAACAGACCCAGUGUAUUCUCACAAAGUGAGGUCUAGGGAGAAUAAAAUAUACGCAGUCCAUACCACUACCUCCGAAAAAGUAUAUAGAUUAUAGAUACAACAACAACGACAACAAAAAACCCACCUCUUUACUACUAAAAAAAAUGAAGAAUAAGAAUCAGACCGUGUCAUGUUUUAUGGGCUGAGAUGAGUUGGAUCAACAUGAGCUAAACAAUAUAUAGGUCAUAAUCCGACAGAUCCAACUUAAAUUUUUUAAUUUUUUUGAUGAUAUGUUUAAGUACCUAAUAAUUCUGUCUCUCUGUUGUUGUUAUACGUAACAUAUCAAAAAAAAAAAUUGAAAAAUAUUUUGAUAAGAUUUUGCCUGAGUUAAUUUGGUGUACAUCCUAAAUCAGUCCAAUUUUUAAAUCGACUUACCUACUAUUUUCUUUUUUUCUUUUUUUUUUUUUAAAGCCACCUCAAUGGUGGGGGGUUUGGCAGACCCCUACCAGUUCAUUUCAUAAGCUAAAAGAGUUACAGGAGGAGGAAGAUUGUCCUUUCCUCUGUGGGGACUAAAGAGGAUGAAAAUCUCACCCUUAAACAAGAGGUGCCCUAUGCUGGUACAUGUUUGCGUGUUGCCAGAACUAAGACAAACAUUAUCAGCUAUGUGUAUGGCUUUUCCUUUCUGGUUCCAGAAAUAAAUAAUAGCAAGAGUCCAAAAAAUCAUAUUGGAAAUUGAAAAGCUUCUUUUUUAAUUCUGAUCCUAAUUAAAAUUUGGAAUGCCGUCUUGAUUAUUCUUCAAGGCAACUUUCACUUGUUUUGGCAGAGAAAUAAUGUCUGUAAAGAAGGUUUCAUGUUUCUUUAAAACUCCAGUGUUGGCUAGUAAGUCGGCAACCUCAUUCGCUUCUCUAAAACAGUGGAUUAUAUUGAAGUUACCACUCUCCAUAAUCCGUCUGAUUUGUUUAACAAUUGACUUACCUACUAAAUGUAGAAUUUCUCUGUUAAUUUAAUUUGUUGCAGUUUUCUCCCUUGAAAGCAAUCUUGUUACAACUUGGUUGUAUUCAUUUCACAUCUAUUAAGAUUUAGUUAAAAACUGAAUAUUAAAAUUCCCAGAAAACAGCCAUUAGCCCUUCCACCACCUGAAGGUAAAUGUGUACUUGACACUAAACUAGUAACUGACGAAAAUUUGCCUAGACUUAUACCUCUUUUAAGCAUACGCCUUGAUCAAGCUGGCCUGCAGUAUGUUAGGUCGAAAUAAUCAAGUUAUCAUGCAACACCUGAAAAAGUAAAGCUCAAAAGAUGCGAAAUAAGAAGACAAAUGAGAAUACAUCAAAAAGACACAAUAAUUUAACGUAGUUCGAUCAAUCAAAGGACAUCUACAAAUGUAGAUGAGUAAUUCACUAUAUAAAAAAAAGUAAAAAAUAUAGAUAGAAAUAACCUCACAAAACAAUUCACUCAUAAUAAAAAGUUCACAAAUAUGAAAACAUAACCAUUUGUGUGUCACAAAUUUUCAAAUUCCUUUAAGAAUGAGCUCUAUUUAUAGUCAUAAAUCUUUUCCUUCAAGAAAAUUAUGGAAAUUUUGUGUUUUCCAUUUGGAAAAAGAAAGCAACGGAUGACUUUUAUGUCCACUGAGGCACUAAUUUUAGCUUUGCUUUUCUGUAACAUGCAGUUCAAUUAAUGACUUCCAAAGUCUACAGCGUUAUUUGGGCAUGUCCUCAAUUUGUGGUUCAUAUAUUCAAAAGUAAUUUCAUUUUACUUAUGUCUAGAAACCUAGUUACUCCCUUAAUUACACUCUCCAGAAGUUUUAGAAUCUACUUUUCUUUUAAUCUUGGUGGUAACCCGGAUUAGUAACAAAUGAUUCUAGUAAAUAAGAUAUUGUUUCAUAAAAUUAGUUGUUCUUUCUCUCUCCUUCUUCAUGAGAAAAUGAUAAUUCGUGCAUGAAAGAAGAGUAAGUAAAGUUAAUCUAUACACCAAAAGCAUAAAAAUUUGUUGAGCACUAGCUAGUUUAACUAGUUGUAGCAGGAUAAAGAAUUACCCCUCUGUUUAAUUUAACUUACUAAUUCACGGGCACGCUUACUAUAUAAAUUUACUAGCUGAUUCUAGACUAAUGUUGGACAUAAAAUUAUUUGCCAUUGCUCAAUUACCAGAAUUAUUAAACAUAGUUUUAGCUUAGUAUAUUAGGCAUGUGAUGACGAACAUCUAUCUUUGUCAAGUCAUGCUGAACAUUAAACACAAUUUUAAAUCCUACACCCUCAUUUUCCUAUGGUGCUAAGUUUUGACAAUAUUUUUUUCCAAGAUGCCCACAUUCACGGGCUAACCGCAAACUUCUUUGUUUUGCUGCCAAGAUUUUCUCCUCUUUUUACCUUUUUCGUCAAGAUAUAUACCUAUAAAUACCAAAGCCAUCUCACUUCUCCAAAUCACAAACACAAUCACCUUCUCUUUUUCCCUCCAAUUUGUCUCAAAAAGCAAAGAAAAAAGAAAUGGAGAUCUCAAAAAAGCUUUCAGCCUUUGUUGUGUUCAUGGUUUUAGCAAUGGCUCAUUGUUCAUUGGCCCAAAAUUUGCCUCAGGAUAUCGUUUUAUCCCACAACAACGCCCGUGCACAAGUUGGGGUCCUACUCCCACCACUAACAUGGAACGACACACUUGCUGCCUAUGCCAAUCAAUAUGCAUCCACCAGAUUAGCUGAAUGCACUUUGGUGCAUUCAGAUUCACCCUAUGGUGAAAAUCUUGCCAUGGGCUACGGCGACUUUUCGGCAGUGGAGGCCAUUACCAUGUGGGUCGGAGAGAAACCAAACUACGACUAUGACUCCAACUCCUGUAAACAAGAUAUGUGCGGGCACUAUACUCAAGUGAUCUGGAAAAACACCCUUCAAGUUGGAUGUGCAAGACUGAAAUGUGAUAAUGGUGAUGCAUGGUUUGUGUCAUGCAACUAUUAUCCCCCUGGAAAUUACAUCGGCGAGAAACCUUAUUAAUUAAGUAAUUAAUUGAGAUGCAUGGCUUCAGUAAUUUUAUAGUAAUUGCAUUACUUUCAUUCCAUGUAAGUCUAAGUUUAUAUAAUAUAUGUGAGGUUCCAAUUUCGGCUUGUAAUAUGGGAAGUUUCCCCUUUUAUGUAAUUUUUUGAUGAUAAUGGAAUUGCGCAGUUUCAAUUUAAAAAAAGUACUUUGUUAUUCACUCUUAUAAUUGUAGACACCUAAUUCUGUCUUUCCCGAAAACUCAAAUUACAUAUUUUUAUCCCUGUCUUACCACGUGCCUUCACCUGUAUGAUUAUAUUCCAUAAAAAUGCAAAAAUAAUAAACCCACUAACAAACCUAAUCCCCAAUUAUUCUUUUGUAACAAAAUUAACCAACUCUCCUAUCAAUUUUGGACAACACGUCACUACCCCAUGCCCCCAUACCCUACCCAAUACCCACCCUCACCUCAUAUGUACACACAUACACACAAAAACAAAUUGGACCUCAGCAUACACGAAAAAAAAAAAGCACGAUCAGUAACAAAACAAAAAAAAAAAGAAAGAGAACAUUCAGCAUCAUCUCCUUCACCUCAAAAAGCUCCAUUUUCGUCACACACAGAAUAGAGGAGGAGAAAGGGAAUAAUUUCCAAGAGGGGCCCACAGUAAAAGAAAGAGGACCAUUUUUUCUUGGCUUCUUUUUGAAUUACCCAGAGUACAUCUUCUCCAUUGUUUUCUCUAUCACAUACACAACACCAAUAUCAGCGAACAAACAACCAGCGAACACCGACCAAUAAUCCAACAACCAAUACACAACCCGAACCACCAGCCACCGUCGAAUCACAUAAACCGACCCAACCGACCUGAAUUCGACCCGCAACCCAUGACCCGAACUAGCAUAUUGGCUCAACAGCCCGAGAACCUUCUAGAAAACAGCAAUACACGGAUCGCUCCAUGAGGAACUGAUAUACGACACAAACGCACACACGCACAGAUCAGGAGAAAGGAAAGAAGAUUGAGUGAUAGAGAGGGGGUUUGAGAGAGAAAUCGACAAGAGAGGGGAAAAUUGUGAGAGAGAGCUGCGAGAGAGAGAGAGAGAGCUGCGAGGGAGAAGUCGGGGUUAACAUUUUCGCCGAGCUGAUCACCGUAAAAACACUCGCUGUCACCGAAAUACGACCCUCUUCCAUCAGUUUUGCCGCCGUCUGAAUUCUGGAGUUCCGGCCAUACAUCUUUUUCUUGGUUUUUCUUGUAAAAUUUGGAUAUUUGUUGGUUCACUGCUCUUGGCGGAUUUUUGUUCGUAUAUUGUCUGUUCUGAGUUAUUUUAUCUUGGGGUCAUUGAAAGAUGGUAAAAGGGAUGCAUACUGGAGCUGGGGGUUUGAGUUGAGGUUUCGAAUCGAGAUUCUUCAGCACGCGGAUUCUUCCUCUCGAUUGAUUGAUAUUCGGAAUAAAAUCAUCAUUGAGGUCCAUUUCUACUCCUUUCUUUUUUUUUUAUUUUCAUUGUUGAUGGAAUAUGGUGUAUUGGAUGGAAUCCGUGUGAUGUUUGAUCUUGAUUAGUGAUGAAUUGCUACUUCGAUAUUGACUUGUUGCUUAAUUUCAUUGAAAUAGAAAUCAUGAAUUGAAAAAAUUAGAGUUAAAAGGGAAUUUGGGGGUGAGAAUUGAAAACUUGAUAUAAUUGGUGAAUUUUGGUUAGCUUGAUUCAUGAGUUGUUUGACUUGAAAUGAACUUUAAUUGAUCUUGGUAGUAUUAUGAUACGUCGAUUGGUUUAGGCAAACAUAGAUUGGGUAGGCAAAAUUUAGGAAUGGUAUUUCCAUUGAAUGUUUGGUUGCGCGUUUGUGGAAUGUCUUCUAGUUUAUUGCAUUGGAUUCAAGUGUAUUCAUUUGUCCGGGGAAUGCCCCGAGGUUUCAUGUAUUUAUCCACCGGGGAAUGCCCCAAGGUUUCAAUGUAUUUAUUCACCGGGGAAUGCCCCCGUAAUAUUAUGUUGGCGGAAGAUGAUCGAGAUGAAGGUCCGAGGCAUCGGGUGAAGCAUUGGAGCUUAGUCUAGAUUUAGUUUAGAACAAGGUUUAUAUUUUGGUAUUUUUUUUUCUAUCUUUGGACUGUAUGAUUGGACUGGGACUUUACAUUUUGGAUUGUUUUGUUUUGUUUAUUGUUUGAUUAUUUUGCGUGCUUUUGUGUGGUUUAUACAUUUCUUAGUGUCAGAAAAUAGUCGAUACACUCUACCAAGCGACCAUGGUUGAACCACGGGAUCGAGGGGUGCCUAACACCUUCCCCUCGUUCAACAGAAUUCAUUAGCCGGAAUCUCUGUUCGCAAACCAUUUUAAAGAGUCAAAUGGUUUUGGAAAGGAUUUUUCAAUGGUGACUUGGCACACCAGAUUAUGCCAAGUGGCGACUCUGAAUAAAAAAUAUAAAUAAUUUUUUUCCAAAAUAAAUUUUCAGUUCUUGUCACUUAAAUAAUAAAACCCUUUAGAACAUUCAAUUAUAAUCAUUUUGGAGUCGAAAAAGGGGUGUAACAAUAAUUACUUUUUUUUUAAAAGCUCCCAUGUGACAAAAUGGAAUUUACCUAAUAAAUCAAAGACUAAUUUUGGAUCAAGUAAUUUGAGUAUGUUCUUUAUAAUAAUCAACUUACAUUUUCUCUUCAAUAAAUAUUUUCUUAGCAAUUUCAAUAUCUUUGAGAUAUCAUCAAGAUGUACUAGAUCACUCUAUUCAAUGUUGCGUUCGGAUAAGGGUUGAAUCUCAUGUAUUUGAAGGAAAAAUUACAUGACUAUGGAUAAGGGAACAUAUAACAACUAUACUUAUUCCAAAAAAAAAAAAAAACUAUACUUACUGUACAUAUAUAUAUAGCUAUAGUUUUACUAAAUUAUAAUUUAACUAUAAUUAGGUUUUAUAGUUUCUCUCUCCUAUAUCUCCCUCUCUCGCUCGCUACUCUCCUCCCCUACUCUCCCUUUCAAUCUCUCUCUCCCUCUCUACGACUAAGAAAACAAGAAAAAAAAAAAGCACACUAUAUAUCAGACUCUUCCCCUUCUCUCCCUCGGAUCUCCCUUCCCUUUCUACGACUAAGAAAAUGAAAGACAACAAGCAGACUGUACCAUGUUUUAUGGGCUGAGAUGGGUUGGAUCAAAAUGAGCUAAACAAUAGGUCAUAUAUAAUUCAACAGAUCCAACUCUUAUCAUGUUUUAAUUUAUUUUAAUUUUUUUUUAUGAUUUAAUGUACCUAAUAAUUUUUUCUCUUUAUUAUUGCUAUAUAUAACAUAUCAAACAAAAAAUUUUAAAAUAUGUUUUGAUAAUGUUUUGCAUGGAUAAUUAAUUUGGUGCACAUUCUAAAUGAGUCCAAUUUUUAUUAAAUAGGCUGAAUUUGAUGGUUUUUUUAAAAAAAAAAAAAUUGAUGGAUCAAAAUCAAUUGACUUACUUAUAUAAAUUGGCGAGUCCUUAACCCGCCCAACUUGAGUAAGUCAGAUUCUUAUUGAUUAAUUUUAUCACCUCUAAUUCUAAUUUUGAUUAAUAAUAAAAUGGUAAAUACCAACCUGAUCAUGCUGUAGCUCGUGCAUCCAAAUUAUAUGAAAAAUCUAAAAAAAAAAAUUGUUUUUUUUUUUAAAAAAAACUUGUCUCUAUGUACUAUUCAUUCAUAAAACUAAAUGUAAUUUUCUUUGACUGCACAUUUAUGUGUACUACGUACUCAUUAUUAAUUGUUUGAAACGUUGACGGCAUCGACAAACUGAACCUUUUAUUAGUCUAUACUAUCCCCUUUUCACAAAUUUAAUCCACUGUUUGUGGAAACUCGAAAAAAAAAAAAAGUUCACAAAUCAAAACAAAAUGUAUUAAGUUUGUAACUGAUGAUUUUUCUGUCCACGAUGCCCUAAUUUAAUCUUUGGUUUUGUGUAACAUGCAAUUCAAUUACAUUGACUUUCCCUGAUCUACAGCAUGAUUUAGGCAUGUCCUCAAUUUGUGGUUCAUAUAUUGAAAAGUGGAUUUGGCUUCUCUCCACUUUUCUUCUCUCUAUUUUCCUAAGUUGUUAUAACUUGGAUUAAGAACAUCUGACAUAAGUUAAAUUCAAUUGCUAAAAUUUAAUUCGUUAAAGUAAGUCCUAGUUUAGAUAAUAAAUAAAUUAGAUAUUUAGUUCCCAAAAUUAUUGCAAUCCUAAUCUUAGCAACAUAUUAUUAUUAUCCAUAAAUAUAGUAAAAAGAAAAUUUCUCAUCCGAUACUUUUCUCCUCUGCGGGAUUUAAGAAAAUAAUUUACUAUUUUAUAUAUAAAAGUUUCAAGCUUAGACAAUACUACUAGACAUUUUUAGGUGAAUAAUAAUAUUUUGAAUAAAACAAUUAACUUAAAAUACACGGUAAAUAAAAAUCAUGAAGUGAAUACACUGCGCUUAAUAUAUGCACCAAAUGAAAUGAAAAGGAGAAAGCAAAUCUUUUACAAACUUGUUGGAUAGAUCCUGCAAACGGAAAAUAAUUAAAGGUAGGAAGAGAUUUAUUGUUUUAAUAUUUGUAAAUAACAUAAUAUAUUGUUAAGAUUUGGGGAUUAUGAUAAUUUUUUAAAUUAAAUAUAUAAUUUAUUUAUUUUCUAAAUUAUGAUUAGUGAGUUACUUUGAUCAGUUAAAUAUUAGCCAUUAAAUUUAACUUAUAUUAUAUGUCAUCAAUCCAAAGAACUUGAGAAAACUAGAGAGAGGAAAAACGGAGCGGACCCUAUCCCUUCAAAAGUAAUAGAGUAUUAUUUUACUUAUUUCUACAAACCUAGAGUUACUAGCUCUAUUAAUUGCACGCUCCAAAAGUUUAAAAUUCACUUCUUUUUUAAUCUCUGAGGUUACCCGAAUUAAUAGCAACGGGUUCUAGUAAAUAAGAUAUUAUUUUAUAAAAUUGAUUUUUCUCCCUCUUUUCUUCUAGAGGAAUUGAUAAUUAGUGCAUGGAGGAAAAAUAAGGAUAGUUAUUAUAUACUCCAAAAGCUUAAAGAAUGGUUAGAGUACUGGUUUAACUAGCUAGUUGCUGCAAGAUAUAGAAUUUACCCUCUGCUUAAUUUAAGUUACUAAUUCACGCUUGCUACAUAAACGUACUAGUUGAUAUUAAACUAAUCUUGUGCAUAAAAUUAUUUUUCAUUAUUCAUUUAUCAAAAUUAUUAAUGUAGUUUCCGGUGAUCUUUAGAUGCCAAAGCGAUGGGCUCCUAGCAUGUCUCUUUCAAUUCACAAAAGCUAUAUAUUUUUUCAACAAAAAAACUAAACAUAGUUUUAGCUUGGUAUAAUAGGUAAGUGCGACGUGAAAAUCUUUGUCAAGUCAUGCUGAAAUUAAACAUAAUUUUUAAUCCUACACCCUCAUUUUUCAAGGAUGCUAAUUUUGACAAUAUUUUUUUGAGUUUAAGACUAUAAGUUCUGUGCACCGACAAAUUCUACACUAUCAGUUAACUUGACCUGCUAUUACAAGUUAUCUAAUUAUUUACAUAAAAAUUUUAAAAAGAAAAAAUUAGGUAACCUGCAAGAGCAAAUCAAGUUUACCUGACAGUGUAGAAUAUUUUCUACACUGCACAAAACUUAAAUUAUAUUUUUUUUUUUUUCAAAUGCCCACAUUCACGGGCUAACCGCAAACUUCUUGUUUUGCAGCCAAGAUUUUCUCCUCUUUUUUACUUUUUUUUGUCAAGAUAUACCUAUAAAUACCAAAGCCAUCUCACUUUUCCAAUUCACAAACACAAUCACCUUCUCUAUUUCCCUCCAAUUUGUCUCAAAAAGCAAAGAAAAAAGAAAUGGAUACCAAAGCCAUCUCACUUUUCCAAUUCACAAACACAAUCACCUUCUCUAUUUCCCUCCAAUUUGUCUCAAAAAGCAAAGAAAAAAGAAAUGGAGAUCUCAAAGCUUUCAACCUUUGUUGUGUUCAUGGUUUUAGCCAUGGCUCAUUCUUCAGUUGCCCAAAAUUUGCCCAAGGAUAUCGUUUUAGCUCACAACAACGCCCGUGCACAAGUUGGUGUCCCACUCAUACCACUAAAAUGGAACAAGACACUUGUUGCCUAUGCCUAUCAGUGUGCAUCCACCAGAUUAAUUAGCUGAAUGCACUUUGGUGCAUUCAUAUUCACCCUAUGGUGAAAAUCUUGCCAUGGGCUACGGCGACUUUCGGCCGUGGAGGCCGUUAACUUGUGGGUAGGAGAGAAACCAAAUUAUGACUAUGCCUCCAACUCUUGCAAACAAGAUAUGUGCGGGCAUUAUACUCAAGUGAUCUAGAAAAACACUCAUCAAGUUGGAUGUGCAAGAUUGAAAUGUGAUAAUGGUGAAACGUGGUUUGUGUCAUGCAACUAUUACCCCCUGAAAAUUACAUUGGCGAGAAGCCUUAUUAAUUAAUUAAUUAAUUAAUUAAGAUGCAUGGUUUCAAUUAUUUUAUAGUAAUUGCAUUACUCAUCCCAUGUAAGCCAAGUAUCUAUAAUAUAUGUAAGGUUCCAAUUUCGGCAUGUAAUAUGGGAUGUUCCCCCUCCUAUGUAAAUUUUUGAUGAUAAAGGAAUUAUACGCGGUUUAAAAUUAAAAAACAAACAAAGUAUUAAUUAUUCACUCUUUAAAAUAAAAUAAUUAAAAAAGAAAAGAGCUGCCCUGUGACAAAAUGGAAUUUAACUAAUAAAUCAAACGCUCAUUUUGGAUCAAGUAUUUUUUGAGUAUAUUUUUUAUGAUCAUCAGCUUGCAUUUUCUCUUCAAUAAAUAUUUUCUUAGCAAUUUCAAUGUCUUUGAGAUAUCAUGAAGAUCUACUAGAUUACUUUAUUCUAAGCCUGUCAAGUGGGCCGGGUUCCACUUAAAAGAUCCAGCCCGGUAAGUCCUAGGGCUUUAGGGUUCUGGGUCCCGGGUUGAUUAUUUUUUUAAUUUGGCCUCGGUUAAUCCGGACCGGAUCAAGCCCGGUUCAGGCCUGAUGGUUAACCGGGCCGACCCGGCCUAGAAUCAAUUUUUUUUUUUUAAAACUUUUGAGUUUUUUAAAAUUAGUAUAUAACUAUAUCUAUAUAUAUUGUAAUGUAUAUAUAAUGUAGUAUAUUUUAUAAGUAGUACAUAGAUUGAAUGUUAGGUAUUUGUGUGUAUAUAUCUUCUAUAGACGUGUAUAUUUAAUGUAUACAUGUGUAUAUGUUUUAUAAAUUAGUAUAUAACUAUAUAUAUAGUGUGUGCAUAUAUUGUAGUGUAUAUAUAUUGUAGUAUAUUUUAUUUAAAGUAGUACAUAGAUUGAAUGUUAGGUAUUUGUGUGUAUAUAUCUUCUAAAGUAGUAUGUAUUUAACAUAUACGUGUGUAUAUGUUUUAUAAAUUACUAUAUAACUAUAUAGUGUGUGUGUGUAUAUUGUAGUGUAUAUAGAUUGUAAUAUAUUUUAAAGGUUUGACCGAGUUUAGGUGGGUUUGACCUGGUUGGUUAAGUGGGCCGGGUUAAGGUUAUUUUAAAAAAAUUACUAUUGAGCCCGGCCCGACCCGAUCCACCUUACCCCCAACUCGAACCUAGUCCGGCCCACAACCCGGCUAACUUUAAUGGGCCGGUUCCGGAUUGGCCUGGCUCGGCCCACCUGACAGCCUUACUUUAUUCAAUGUUGCAUUCGGAUAAGGGUAAAAUCUCUUGUUUUUUAAGAAAAAUUAUAUAACUAAGGGAACAUAACAACUAUAUUUACUGAACAUAUAUAGCUAUAUUUUUACUAAAACCUUUUUUUUUUGUUGUUUUGAUAUGUUAUAUAGAAAUAUUAAAGGGAAGUUCUCCCCCUCUUUUCCUCUCUACUACUAAGAAAACAAGAAAAACAAGCACAAUAUAUAUCAGACUAUUUCCCUUCUCUCCCUCUGAUCUCCCUUUUCUUUCCUCUACGACUAAGAAAAUGAAAAACAAGAAUUGAAGCAGAUUGUAUCAUGUUUUAUGCACUGAGAUGGGGUGGAUCAAGAUGAGCUAAUUAAACAAUAGGUGUUAUAAUCCAACAAAUCCAACUCUUAUCAUGGUUUAACUUUUUAAAAUUUUUUGAUGAUCUAUUUAAGAACCCAAUAAUUUUCUCUCUUUAUUUCUGCUAUAUAUAACAUAUCAAGAUAAAAAAAAAUUAAAAUAUGUUUUGAUAAGGUUUUUGCGUGGGUUACUAAUUUGGUGUACAUCCUAAAUCAGUCCAACUUUUUAAUAGAUUGAAUUUGGUGGAUCAAAAUCAAUUGACUUACAUGUAUAAAUUGACAAGUCACAAACACAAAUUGAAUAUAUCAAUUUUUUAAGGGUUAAUUUUGUCACCUCUAAUUCCAGUUCUAAUUAAUAUUAAAAUGAUAUAUACCAAUCUGAUCAUGCAAUAGCUUGUGCAACAAUAUAAUAUGACUAACCUCUUUCCUUCUUUUUUUUUUUGGUAUAUUGUCUAUACGAUUCAUUAACAAAAGUAACUGCACAUUUAAUUACGUGUACUACUUUCAUUUCAUGUUUAACCCUAAUUAUAAUAUCUAUUUAUCAGACUAUGUACAUCACUAAUUAUUUAGAGGUUUGAAAAGGCAGAUAAUUGUUGAAAAAUGGGCAAAUAAUUGCACUCAGCCUUGCACAUUGCCACAUUCUAAUGAGUAAUGACCCAUGGGCAUAGGCAGCAACCUGGUUGCUUUAGACUUCCUAAAAUUAUCUAUUAAUAGCAUCGCCAAACUGAACAUUUUCCUAGUCAUAUUAUCCCCUUUUCACGGAUUUGAUCCAUUGUUUGUGGAAAGUCAAGAAAUAAAGUUCACAAAUCAAAACAAAGUGUAUUAAUUUUGCAGGUGAUGACUUUGCUUUUGUGUAAUAUGAAGUUCAAUUGCACUGACUUUCCAAAGUCCACAAGGUGAUUUGGGCAUGUCCUCAAUUUAUGGUUUGAAAAGUAGUUUUAUUUUACUUAUGCAUGUCCAGAAACUCAAAUUUACUCCCUUAAUUAUGCGCUCAAAGAGUUUGACAGAAUCCAUUUAUUUUUAUCUCUGAAGUAAUCCGAACAAGUAGCAACUGAUUCUAGUAAAUGAGAUAUUGUUUCAUAGAAUUGACUGUUCUUGACUUCUUCCCUCUCCUUUCUUCUAGAGGAAUUGAUAAUUCGUGCAUGGAGGAAAAAUAAGUAAAUUAUUAUAUACAUCAAAAGCCUAAAGAAUUGUUAGAAUUACCCCUCUGUUUAAUUUAAGUUAAUAAUUCACGCUUACUAUAUAAACGUCCUAGUUGAUUUAAAACUAAUUAAUCUUGUACAUAAAAUUAUUAUGGAGCUCCUAGCAUGUCUCUUUGACUCUUUAAGUUCACAAAAGCUAUAUAUAUAUUUGCUCUACAAACAAAAUUAUACAUAGUUUUUAGCUUGGUAUAUUAGGCAUGUGAUGACGUGAAUAUCUAUCUUUGUCAAGUUAUAUAUGCUGAACAACACUAAACAUAAUUUUUAAUCCUGCACCCUCAUUUUUCUAUGAUGCUAGUUUUGAGGAUAUCUUUUUCCAAAUGCCCAAAUUCACGGGCUAACCACAGACUUCAUAUGUUUUACUCCAAAGAUUUUCUCCUCUUUUUUACUUUUUUUAUCAAGAUAUAUCUAUAAGUACCCAAGGCGUCCCACUUCUCCAAAUAACAAACACAAUCACCUUCUCUAUUUGCCUCCAAUUUGUCUCAAAUAGCAAAGAAAAAAGAAAUGGAGAUCUCAAAGCUUUCAAUUACCUUUAUUGUGUUCAUGAUCUUAGCCAUGACCCAUUCUUCGCUGGCCCAAAAUAAGCACAGGGAUAUCAUUCUACUCCACAACAGGGCCCGUGCACAAGUUGGUGUCCCACUCCCACGACUAAAAUGGAACAAGACACUUGCUGCCUAUUCCAAUAAAUAUGCAUCCACCAGAUUAGCUGAAUGCACUUUGGUGCAUUCACACUCACCCUAUGGUGAAAAUCUUGCCAUGGGCUAUGGCAACUUUUCGGCUGCGGAGGCCAUUAACAUGUGGGUCGGAGAGAAACCGAACUACGACUAUGCCUCCAACUCAUGCAAACAAGAUAUGUGCGGGCAUUAUACUCAAGUGAUCUGGAAAAACACUCGCCAAGUUGGAUGUGCAAGAUUGAAAUGUGAUAAUGGUGAAGCGUGGUUUGUGUCAUGCAACUAUUAUCCCCCUGGAAAUUACAUUGGCCAGAAACCUUUUUGAUUAAAUAAUUAAUUAAGAAGCAUGGUUUCAAUAACUUUAUAAUUAAUUUACUUUCAUCCAAUGAAAGUAUGUAAGGUUUCCAUUUACAACAUGUAAUUGGAGAAGUUGUCUCAGCUAUUCCUGUGACAAAAUGGAAUUUAAUUAAUAGUAAAUUGAAGACUAAUUCUCGAUGAAGUAUACUAUUUGAGUAUAUUUCAUAUAAUAUCAUCUAACCUUUUCUUUCAAUAUUUUCUUAUUAGCAAUUUCAAUAUCUUUGAAAUAUCAUGACGUGAUGAAGAUGUUAAAUUUCGUGAAUUAAUAUACAAAUUAUAGACUUGUAAUUAAGUUGGAUUAACACCGUGGAUAUUAUCAAGUCAUAACAAUUAAAUAGUAAAAUGUAACGGUUAAAUGAUGAAAUGCGCUUGGAUCUAGGUUCCUUGCUCAAGGUAAGUCAAGGUAAGCUCAAAUAACACAAAAUCAGUCACAAACACGCCACAAAAUAAUAUGCACCACGAGAUCCCACCUCAAAAAGCUUCAAACAAGGCACAACAAUGGUGGAUCUAGCUCAAAAACAACCAAAUCUUGUUCCAAAUGUAGAUAUAGACUCCCUAGGUGCUAGGGAACAAGAAUCUAGCACUUGAAAUCAACAAAACAACACAAAAACAUGUAGAUCUAAGAUUUUAAAAUCUGCCCAAACACAAAAACGGAUUUACAAUUUUUUUUGUGAGAUUUUCGAUUUUCUAUACUCUUUUUUGUUAAGAUUUUCUUAGAUCCAAGACUUAACAACCCUAAAACAUGACUCUGAUACCAAAUGAUACAAGAGAAUACUAGACUCUUUGUAUAAUGCAACAUUAUUUUUUGAUUGGAUUAUCUUAAAGUAAGUUUUAGAUCUAGUAGCAGGCUCAAAGGGUUAGCUUGGGCUACACCCUUUUUUUUCUUUAAACAUAUCUUGUUAUAUAUUCUAAAUUCAUCUGACAUUAGGGAUAUUAGGUUGUUUAGUUUCUAGUCCCCGAUGAUAGAAGAGAAUACUAGAAAUUCAUGAAAUAGACACAAGAUGCAAAAUUUGUGAUUUGGACAAUUAAAUAGUAAAAUGUGACGGUUAAAUGGAGAAAUUUGUGAUUUGGACAAUUAAAUGGUAAAAUGUAAAGGUUAAAUAGAGUAAUAUGCUAGUCAUAUUGAAUUUGAACAUGUCGAAAGUAAAUUAGUCUAGUCCAAAUACUUUUGAACUAACAGGACUUCUUUUAAUUUUUUGAUUAUAUAUUUAAGUAAAUAAUAUUUUUUUUCUCUUUAAUAUUUUUAUAUAUAAUAUAUCAAAUAAAAAAAGAUAUUUCUGAUUUUCCACAAUCAAUAAAGAUCUUCUCAAUAAAAUUAGUGGCCUAAAACAAAAUUUUAAUAUGAAGCUUUAAAUAUAUGCACAUAACAAAAAUAUUAUCAAUAAUUUAGAGUUAUUUUUUUAUUCUUGCGUACUACUUUUUAAUAGUGUUAAUAGAAGACAUUAAACAUUUAACUUGAUACAGUAAUAUUAUUAUUUAUAAAAAUAAGGACUAAUUUUAAUUAAUAAGAUGUUAGUCAUUUAUUUGCAAUUCAUUACCUUAAAUCUUAUUGUGAAAUCCUUAUUUAUUAAUAUGAAGAUUUGAUUAAAAGUUCUAAAAUAUUUUUAAUAAAAGUUAAAUAGUUCUUAUUUCUUUCCUUCUUAGUUUAAAUUUUGUAAUUUUGUAUUUUACCAGCUUUAAUAUUAUUUUAAGUAAAAUUAAGAUCAUAAAGUUCAUUUUAGAUUUUUUGCAGCCUCAAAAUUUAAGUAUCUAAAGCAAAUGUUUUAUUAGCCUUAGCCUUAAGUCAUCUCUGUCAAUAACCUUUGCAACAAUAUAAUAUGAAUAAUUAGAUUUUAUUUUUAUUUUUGGUAUUUUGUUUAAAUGUAUUAUUUAUAUACAAAAGCUGUAAGUAAUUUUCUUUGAAUGCACAUUUAUGUGAACGUUCAUUUCAUGUGUAAUCACAAUACUACCUUCGUCUCAUUUUAUGUGUCGUUAUUUGAUUGGGCAUGAAGUUUAAGAAAUAAGUGAUGAUUUUGUAAAGUUUAUAUAAUUGUCCCUCUUAAUAUUUACUUUUUAGUUGUCUUUUAUUAAUAAGUGGGCCCUACUAAGUAUAAAAUGAGAAUUAUGUCAUUAAAUAAUUAACAAAUAAGAAAAUGUGACAUUCUUUUUGAAAUGAACUAAAAAGAAAAUGACGACACAUAAAAUGAGAUGGGUGGAGUAAUAAUAUCUAUUUAUCAAAUCAUAUGCACCACUCAUUAUAAAGUCAUUUGAAAAGACAGACUAUUGUUUUUUUUUUUAGAAAAAAAAAACAAAUAAUUGCUUUCAAUCUUGCAAUCUAAGAGCUCGUUUGGUCGUGAAAUUUUUUUUCUUUUUUCCCAAAAAAAAUUUCGGAGUUGAAAAUUAUGGUGUUUGGUCAUGAAAAUUCGAAAAUAAUUUCGAUUUUUUCUUUUAAAAAGGGAAAACAGGUUUUUGAUGUUUUCUUAAUUUUUCAACUCCAAUUUCAAUUUUUAUUAUUAUUACAUAUAACCCAAUCUUUUAAAUUUUUACAUAAAACUUUUCUUAUAAUAUUACUUUUUCAAUAUUACGUAUAUAGCAGUUUUAAAGAAUAAGAUAAUUAUAAUUUCAAACUUAAUGUUAUCCUAAUUAAUAUGUAUCUCUUUUUCUCUCUCAUUAUUAUUUUUCUCUCUUAUUUAAUUUUCUCCCUUAUUAAAGACAUCAUUUUACUACUAAUGAUCCUAAUAAUAAUAAUAAUAAUAAUAAUAAUAAUAAUAAUAAUAAUAAUAAUUAUUAUUAUUAUUAUUAUUAUUAUUAUUAUUAUUAUUAUUUUUCNNNNNNNNNNNNNNNNNNNNNNNNNNNNNNNNNNNNNNNNNNNNNNNNNNNNNNNNNNNNNNNNNNNNNNNNNNNNNNNNNNNNNNNNNNNNNNNNNNNNNNNNNNNNNNNNNNNNNNNNNNNNNNNNNNNNNNNNNNNNNNNNNNNNGAAAUAUACAAAGUAUGUUAUAUAUAAAGUUUAUACCAUGUAUAUACCAUAUAUACACAUAUAUAAAUAUACAAAGUAUUAAGAAACAUACUAAGUAUAUUUAUAACAUAAAUAUACAAAGUAUGUUAUGUAGAAAUAGAAAAACUAAUAAAGACUAUAACAAAAAAACCUAAAGACCUAGAGAUUAAAACCACUCAAUUAGUAACAAAGAUUGUAGAACAAGUAGAAUCCAUAAAUAAAGAAAUAAGUGCGCUAAAAAUAAUAAUACAAAGAUUAGAAGAAAUCUCACUUUCAUGAGUGAAGAAGAUAUAAAUUACAAUAGGGCAUUAGAAAAAUCGAAAAGGUAUCACGACGAACCAGAAGGAUUUUCUAAGUAUCUUCCCUCAAGUUAGGCAGAUAAAACUAUAUUAAAACAAAACAAUACUAUAAUAGCACUAUUGUUAGAACUACAUAUAAAAAUAGAUAGUAUAAUUAAAGGCAAAGAAGUUCAAGUUUUCAAAAAUACAGAAAUAGACGAAUUAAUUACUCAAUUAAAAAAGGUUGAAAUAACUCCAAGACAGGAAAAGUAAAAUAUAAUUAAAAAAAACACAAAAAUGGACUUUCUUUCAGUUAGACCAAGAAGAGCCACCGAAGGGGAAAGGCAAAGAGUAAGUUUUUUCGAUAAUAGAGUAGAAAAUAAUCUUAUUGCCAGAAUACUAUCUAGAAGACACCCAGACAUAGAACAAGACCAGGAAUUAAAUGAAAUAAUAGAUGUGAAAAAAGAUCUACAAAUUUUUCAGCAAAAUCAAUUAAAAUAAUUAAAUCCUAAGACAUUAUAUAAUGCUUUAAAUCCUAAGACAUUAUAUAAUGCUAAGUAUUUCUCCACAGAUAAUCAGCUAUACAGACAUUAUAGAGAAGAACAAAUAUCUGCUAUAGGAGAAAAUUUUACAACCUUAAAUUUGGUAAGUACCGAAUCAUUAAAACAAAUAAGAAAUAAUAAAAUGUUGUUAAUGCAUAUGGAAUUAAUAGUCAUAGGAAUAAAAGGAUUAACUAGAAAAAAUCUAGGAUCGAAAGUAUUAAUAGUAAUAUAUGAUGAUAGAUGGUCAGAUAUUAAAAAAAUCACUAAUAGGAUUAACCGAAGUAGAUAUGACAAAUAAUGGAGGAAUAUUUUAAAUUUAGCCCAGACUUUUUAAUGAAUUUAAAAGAAUUUUAAAAAAAUAUUAAAAUAGAAAUUCAGACUAAAGGGCAUGAAGAAAUGAUUAAUGGAAAUAAUUUAUUAAUAUGUAUAGGUUUUAUAGGAAAAAUGACUUUAAGUAGUAAUACUAAGUUUAAAAUAAAAGUAAAUGAUGUAGUUGAAGUAAUGGGUAAUAAAGGUAUAAAAUUAAUAAAAUCAAUAAAGAUAAAUCCAAAAGAAUAUGCAGGGUUAGAAUGAAAUUUAGAAAAAUUCAAUAAGCCAAAUGUAUUUAAACCUGAAACUCAUUUAAUGUAUACUACUAGUAAAGGAGAAACAUCAGUAAGAUUUACAGACUAUAAUUACACAAGUCAAAAGGAAUUAGAAGAUAACGAAACUGAAAAUACCAUAGAACAAGAAUUCAUGAAUGUAGAAAUACUGCAAGAAGGAUAUGAAGUGAAUAAAGCAAUAGAAGAAGCACAAAGAUUAGUCGAAGAACAUAGAUAUAUAACAUUUAAAUAUAAAGGGUGUAAGAAAAAAAAUAUAAACAUAACACAAUGUAUAAAACAUUUUAAAACUUGUUCAGAAAGGGAUGAUAAUCUAGGAUAUAGAAUCGAAAAGGUGGAUACUAUCUCUACAACCUUCGAAAGACAAGAUAAAGACAUAAUAUCCACGAUAAGUUAUAAAGAAUUAGCAGAAAUGAAAACAGCUAGCUCAACAAGUGCUAGUUCAUUCCAACAAACUAAUCCACAUUCCCAACCAAUAGAUUAUAGUACAGGUAAUGCACCAAGAAGAAGAGCAAUUAGAAUAAAUCCAGAUACAGAAAUUAAAGAAAAUAUAAGACCGGCAGAAAGAAGAAUGCCAAUAGAAAACCUAUUAGAUUACAAGAAGGAGGUAAUAAAGGAAAAAUACUAAAUAUAGCAGCACAUGAUUCACAAAUGUGGAAUACAGUAAUAGACUUAUGAAAAGAAAUAGUAGUAGCAGAUUAUUUAAGACAUUAUACAGAAACAGAUACGGAAAUAAUGUACAAAUAUAUGAAAACCUUCUUAGGAGAAUUGGCAAAAGCCGUAUGGGAAGCUUUCAAGAUAAACUCUCCCCAUGAUUUUCAGGCAUUAGUAUCAUUAGGACUAAACCCUUAUAAUUUUAUAAAUAAAAUACACAAUUUACUAACAGGGGAGGAUCCGAAUAGUGGUUUAUUAGCAUUACAAAGAAAUACCUUCAUAAAAUUAGAACAGUUAAGUAUUUUAAGUUGGCUACAUAUAAAGAACUUUUUAAGAGACUAUUUUUAUUAUUGUACAAUUAGUGAAAAUACUUUUGAUGAAGAAUUAGGUAAAAAAAACUCUUUCAUAAAUUACCAAGAGUUUUAGGAAGAGAAAUAGAAGAUAGAUGGUAUUAAAGAGAUCGUGUAGUUCAAAAUCCACAUGCUAAAUGGACCAUAGGACAUAAAAUACAACAUGUAAUGGAUAUCUUAACAGAAAAAUGUACAAAUAUUCAAAUACAAAAACAACUAAAGAAAAACGAAAUGAACUUCUGCAAAUCUAUUAUAUAUACAACUCAAAGUUAUGAUAAUGAUGUAGAAAAAUCUAAAAACUAUAAAAGAAAAUACAAUAAACCACACUAUCAUAAAAAAAUACUACUUGCGCAAAUCAUCAGCCAUGAAGCCAUACCUGAACAAGCACAGACAUGUUAGAAAGUAUAGGAAUGAUAGAAAUUAUAAAAACAAAUUAGAAUGUUAUACAUGUGGAAGCAUAGAACAUUUAGCAAACAUAUGUCCAAAAAAAAAAAAUAAUAGAACUAGAAAUUCACAAUUAAUAUAAGACUUUCAAGAAACCCUAUUAAAUGUAGAUGAAUGUAUGUCAGAUACCAAAAGUAUAUAUUCCAUAAUGAGUAUAAACAUAGAUGAUACACAAAACUCUGAUUCUUCAGACUCAGAAGAAGAUAAUUUAAUAAAUGAAAUAGGACAAGAAGCAGACGAGUUAAAUUUAAAUGACUUAUUAAUUAGCAAUCUAAUGAAUGUUAUACAAAGCUGUAUACACAAUUUUCAAAGACAAAAAGAAAUAGACAGUAAUCAAUACCUCAUAUGUAACUGGUACCCGAGUAAAGACAAUAGAGCUAAUUGUACAAAAUGUUAUAUGGAAGCAUGUGUAAAUUGCAUAGAAAAUAAGCUAAAAAUAAAAAUAGAACCAGAAAUAGUUAAUGAACGAAAACAAGUAAAUAACCAGAUUACAAACUCAAGAAUCGCAACUUUAGAAGCCAGAGUGAAUGAUUUAGAACAAAGACUAGUAGCAUUAGAAAAAGGAAAAGCUAUAAUAAAUAAAGAUGAAUUAGAAACACAAAGAACAACACAUUUAGAACAAAUAGAAACAGAACUUUUGAAUGUAGAAGAAAAUACUACUUUAAUAUGUAAUGAAGAUAAGGAUUUCACGACGAUGAAAGUACGUGCUAAAAUAAGAAUUCAAGAUAUAGAAAUAGAAAUUUUAGGAUUGAUAGACACAGGAUGUACGAGUUGUAUAGCAAACAAAAGAAUAAUACCACAACAUGUACUUAAAAUCUUGAAAAAACCAAUAACGGCUAUACAAAUGGAUGGAUCAUAUAAUAUUUAUAAUUAUUAUAUCGAAAAAGCACAAGUAAGUUUUAUAAAUACGUGCAACGAAUUCUAUAAACCAACUUAUAAAAUUAUAAGUAUGUUAUAUAUAAAUUUUAUACCAUGUAUAUACCAUAUACACACAUAUAUAAAUAUACAAAGUAUUAAAAAAACAUACUAAGCAUAUUUAUAACAUAAAUAUACAAAGUAUGUUAUAUAUGAAGUUUAUACCAUGUAUAUACCAUAUACACACAUAUAUAAAUAUACAAAGUAUAAAGAAACAUACUAAACAUAUUUCUAUAUUUAUGGUAUAUGAUAUAAUAUAGAGAAAAGGCAUGAUUUCCCCCCUGAACUUGUCUGCUCAACUCACUUUAGUACUUAAACUAAACUUCUGUUUAUUUACCACCCUUAACAUCUUUAAAGUGUAUUAUUUUUACCUCUCAAAAUUGAAUACCACUCUCACAACGGAGAGUGUGUUACACUCGCCUACACAUCAACGCCACGUCAUUGUCACGUAAGAAAUUACUAUUUUUCUAAAAAAAAAUUAAUCCACAUACAUUAUUUUUCUAUAUUUUUUAAAAGAAAAAUAAAAAAUAUGUAUGUACUAUUUUAUUUAUAUAAAUAUAUAUAUAUAUAUAUAUAUAUAUAUAUAUAUAAUUAUGUAUAUAUAUGUAUAUAUAUUUAUAUAUUAAAUAAAAAAGGCACCUCCACCCCCCAUUUUCUUUCUUCUUCACAUCCCCCACCCCAUCCGUUCACCCCGCCCUCUCUACGUUUUCUCCUCUUCUAGCCCUCACCCCCAUCCCCUACCCUGCAAACGCAAGCCCCACCUCUCCUUGUUACACCCUUUUUUUGCUUGAGGGUAUUGAGGUCGAAGGAUUUUCCCAAUUAAAGUGACGAUUUUGAAUAGGGAUUAUUUUAUUUUACAGAUUCGCCACUUGAAAUUGAGUUUUGGUGUUGCAAGUCACCUUUUUGAAUCCUUAGUCAAAAGAAAAUGACUUUUUAUUAUGGUAUGCAAAAAUUUUAGACCGGGAAAGUAAUUCUGUUGACCGAGGAAAAGGUGUGAGGCACCGCUCGGGUCCCGUGGUUCUAGCACGGUCACUUUUAUUGACUUAUCUUGACUAAAACGAUUUUGAUAAUUAUGUCAAGGCCUAAAUUUGCUCAUUUUUUAAUGUCUAAUAGCUGUCUAUAACUCUUGUAUUAAAUCGGUGAAAAUUAAUUUUAGAAAAAUAUUUGUCAAGGUGCAUUAUUGCAUCCUUGAAUUUUUAAAUAUCUUAGAAAGAUGCGUACGCUGCAUUCUUAAUUGAAACAAAUAUUUUAAAUGUAUCUAAAAUUUGCCUAGCGUUGAAGCAUUGGUUAGUCUAUUAUAAAUUGAAGACAUCUAAACUUAAUCUUUUCUUUAAAAAUCAAAACAAUUUUUGUAUUCAUUUUAUCCUCUCCUUUUGAUUUUUAUUUAGAUUUGCAAUGAUUUUUGAAUUAAUCCGCAACUCGCCUCGUUCCCUCACAUUAAACUAUUCGGACACUAAAUAGUAAUCUAAAACCAAAUUUUCUUUUUCCUCCAUUAAUGCUACUUGAUAAAUUUAUUUUUUUUAAAAAUAAAAUAAUAAUAAUAAUAAUAAUAAUAAUAAUAAUAAAACUAUUGAAUAUUGGAAUUAAGAAAUAAAAAAUAAAAUACAAAACAUCAAAUGUGAUGACAAAAUAUUAAAUUUAACCUUACUUAACUUAAAACAUGAAAAUUAAUUUAUUACACACAUUAAAAAAAAUACUUGAAGAUGAAUUCAAUCGUGAAUACCCCACUAACAUAAGAAUAAUAUCACAUGAAAUAAUACUAGAAAGUAAAAAUUCUACUAAUGUAUUUAAUAUAAAUUAAUAGAAUUAUAUAUUGAACGGAUAUUUUUACGUCCAAUUGUUCUUCUAUCCAGUAAUAAGGAAACAUUGAUUUAAUGGCAUCAUUAUUCAUUUUGAUCUAUUUUUUAUUUGCAGCAAAAUUUAUUUUAACACCUUUUGUCUUCCUAAUUAAUUUUUAUAUGGUAGAGAUAAAGAUAUCAUAUACCAUUUUCGCUUACUCAGAAUAUAACAAUAUAAAAUUAUGAAUAUAUACAUGCUAUAAAUAUUAGUAAUAGGUUAAACAUAUAUGAAACUCAAACAACUUCAUAUAUUGAACUAACGUAUUGCUGUUUUGCGAUGUUACAUUAUGAAAAAAGAAAAUUUUAGGGUUACCUCUUGUGAAGAUAAUUCGCAAGCAAAAUAAAGAAGAAUCACGAACCCGAAAUCACGAACCGAACCUCAAACUCUAGGUUGCUUCAAACUCUAACUUGUUAUCUUUGGUGGCUUGUUUCGUUUGUUUCUUAGUCUUUUCUCUUUUUUUUUUUAAUCUUGUUUUCUAAUGCAUGUUGAUUUCGGGAAAACGUUAGGAGGGAGUAGUUUUCUUUUUAAUGUUGUUCCUCCUCUUUUUUUUUUCUCUCUUAUUUUACCCCUUAACAUCUUUAAAGUAUAUUAUUCUUACCCCUCAAAACUGAAUACCACUCUCACAACGGAGAGUGUGUUACACUCGCCUACACAUCAACGCCACGUCAAUGCUACGUCGGAGCCACGUCAUUGCCACACAAGAAAUUACUAUUGUUCUAAAAAAAAUAUAAUCCCCCAUACAUUAUUUUUAUUUAUUUUAAAAAAUAAAAUAAAAAUACGUAUGUACUAUUUUAUUUAUAAAUAUAUAUAUAUAUAUAUAUAAUAAAAAAUGCACCUCCACCUCUUAUUUUCUUUCUUCUUCACCCCCCCCACCCCAUCCGCCCCCCUCUUUAUGUUUUCUCCUUUUCCAGCCCUCACCCCCACCCCUACCCUGCAAACGCAAGCCCCCCUCCUCCUCUUCCAGUGCCUCCUUUUCCAGUGCCCCACCCCCUAGUUUUCCAAUUGAAUCUCAAUCGUUUUUUCAAAAUAAAUAAAAAAAGUCAAAAAAAAAACUUCAUUUUUUUUUUAAGAAAACAGGUGGGUCUCCUUCUUCCAUAGUCUUGGACCAAAGCAAACAUAGUGGAUAAAUUACAAAUAUAACUUUGAUUGCGAGGGCUGAAGAUUUGGUUUUGAAACAACAUAAUCGCUAUGAUGAUCUCAGACCAAUCACAUAAUUUGUUAAUUAUGAUUUCUAAAAACAGAAAAAAACAAAGUAAAAAAAAAAACUCUAUUUUUUUUCAAAGCUUUCAGCUAAAGGGUGAUUUUUUUUCCUUUUUGGUAUAAGAAUGUUGAAUUAUUACAUCUUAAUCAUUACAUCUUGUGUCCGAUUAAUUACCAUCUUGAAAGUGUUGAUGGAGAAUGUGUGUGAGAUUGUUAAUGGGGAAAUUAAUGGUUGAAGAAAAUGGAUGAAGUUGUUAAUGGGGGAAUUAAUGGUUGAAGAAAAUGGGUGAGGUUGUUAAUGGAGAAAUUAAUGGUUGAAGAAAAUGGAUGAGAUUUUUAAUGGUGGAAUUGAUGGUUUAAAGAAAAUGAAUAUUGUUGUUCUUGAUCAAUUGGAGAAGAAAAGAGUGUAGGGUGUGGGUUACCAUGAGGGGGUGGGGCAUUGAAGAGAAGGAUAUUUUUUUUAAUGUAUAUUAAAAUAAAAAGUGGGAUUAUAUCAGUUUUAAUUUAAAAAAUUCGGCUUUUUUUUCCUUUUUAAUAAAUAAACAGGCCCCUUUUUUAAAAAAAAUAUCACGUCAGCUUUAGGGGUCAAACAAAUACACUUUAAAGAUGUUAAGGGGGUUAAAUAAACAGAAGUUAAGUUUAAGUGCUAAAGUGAGUUUGGAGGAUAAGUUCAGGGGGGAAAUAUGUCUUUUCUCUAUAAUAUACCAUAAAUAUGCAAAGUAUGUUUUACAUAGAAAUAAUUUAUUUACACACAGUAAAAUCCUUUAUGCAUAAGAAAAUUAAAGAAAUAAAUUAGUGGCACCCUAAAAUUUAAUAGCAACUCAUCAUUUCCUAUUUUUUAGGAUCGAAAAAUAAAGGAAAUAAAUUAAAUAAAUUCCUAAAAAAAUAAAUUUGUUUGAAUGAUAAUAUUUGUUACCUAAAAAAUAGGAAGCACUGAUAUGUUAAUAUAAUAUCCAUAUUUAAAUUUUUCAAAUAUGAGAAAACGGCUAUUAAUGUAAAUAUUAUAUAUGUCAUAAUUGAAAUUCAUUAAAUAUGACCAUGUAUAUGUAAUUAUUUUUAUAAAAGUGGUUAAUUGUGUUCUUUUCCCGUUAGUGGGUAAAUUUUAGUUGAGUGAUUUUGAUAGUUUGAAAAAUUUGGGGCAUAAAAUUAUAUUUAAAAAAGUUUUUUCAAAAGUUAAAAAAAAAAUUAAAAAAGACAUGACCAAACACAACUUCAACUCCAAUUUCAAAAAAUUUUAUUUUUCAUGGUCAAAUGGCUAUUAAAUGUGCAUGUUUCGGGUUGAAACCAACUUCUGCACGGGUAGCCUUUUUUUGGACUAAUAACGAUAGCUAAGAUUUUAAAAAAAAUAUAUUGAGUAAAAGAUACAAUGAAUAUUUAAGGAACAAAUAUAAUUAAAUAUAUGAAAGUAAAUAACUAUGCUUAGAAUUUUGAUUUAAUUAAUUAAAUCUCAAUCAUUAAUUUAAACUAUGAUAUAUGUCUUGAGUCCAAAUAAAAACUUGAAGAAAUUGGAGAGAAAGAAAAUAGAGAAGAGCCCGAUUGCAUUAAACUGGCACGGCUCCGUGAUAUAAAUAAGCGUUUAUAAGAACAAAUGAUAAAUUCGAAAACCUGAAGUAUCAAGUACUCACAACUCACAUUAUGGCAAAGUCCCCAUUGUUGACUAUAUAAAGAAAACAUAACAUGUCCAUAGUCUCCUAGGGUCUCAGGCAACCUGUCCAUUAUUUGACUACGGUUAUCUCUGUGUUAGUGGCAGAGUCUGAAUUUAGAGUCUGAAUUUUUAUUAAGGGGUUUGUAAGUAAAUAUACAAACUAAUCGAAAGAGGUUCAACAUCUACUAUUUAUACAUAAAAAAUAAUUUUAACUAUAUAUAUAUAAUAUAAUUUUCCGCCGAAGGGGUUUGGAUGAACCCCUAUCACAAGGGUAGCUCCUCCCCUGCUCUGUGCCCUCUUCCUCACUUUCGAUUACAUCUUCUUUCUGUUUAAUUUCUGUAAGAGUCCUUUCUUAUUGAAUACUCUAUCCGUUUGCUUUUACUUGUCACAUUUUGUUUUUUUGACUUAACAAACCCAAAAUAAUUAAUAACAUGAUUAUUUAUAUCAUAGUAUACGUAUUAAAUAAUGUUUGCAUUGUAUCUUGAAAUUAAUUUGAAGAAAAAGUAAUUAAUGUUAAGGAUAAAAUAGGGGGAAAAAAAGUUGACUGCUAUUGAUAAAAUUCAAUUAGAAAACUAGUGACACUAAAAACGAACACUGGUGUAAAGAAGUAUAUACCAAGAAUGCUUUUAGAGUUAGGUAAAGCAAUUAGGUGGAGUUUUUCAAUAAUUAUUUCACAAUACAAAGUAUAAUUGUCUUUACAUGUUAAUAAUUAGAGGUUACCUUUAAUUUACAUUUUACAGCAGGUUAUAUAAUUACCCCUCUGUUUUCCUUAAUUUAAUUAAGUUACUAAUUCACGCUUAAUGUAUAAACUUACUGGUUGAUUUUAAGCUAAUGUUGUACAUAAAAUUAUUUGCCAUUAUUCAAUUAUCAAAAAUUAUUAAUGCAGAUCCCCAUUAUCUUUUGAUGCCUAAAGGACGGUCUUCUAGUAUGUCUCUUUCAGUUCACACAAGUUAUAUAUUUGCUCCACAACCAAAAAAAAAAAAAAAAAUUGAACGUAGUUUUCGCUUGGUAUAUUAGGCAUGUGAUGAUGCGGACCUCUUAUCUUUGUCAAGUCAUGUUGGACGUUAAACAAUUUUUAAUCUUACACUCUCAUUUUUCAAUGGUGCUAAUUUUGACAAUAUUUUUAUCCAAAUGCCAACAUUCACGGGUUAACGGCUAACCAUAAACAACUUGUUUUUCUGCCAAAAUUUUCUCCUCUUUUUGUCAAGAUAUAUACCUAUAAAUACCAAAGCCAUCUCACUUCUCCAAAUUACAAACACAAUCACCAUCUCUAUUUCCUUCAAAUUUGUCUAUAAAAGCAAAUCAAAAGGAAAUGGAGAUCUCAAAGCUUUCAACCUUCGUUGUGUUCAUGGUUUUAGCCAUGGCUCAUUCUUCAUUGGCCCAAAAUUUGCCUCAGGAUAUCAUUUUAGCCCACAACAACGCCCGUGCACAAGUUGGUGUCCCUCUCCCACCACUAACAUGGAAUGACACACUUGUUACCUUUGCCAAUCAAUAUGUAUCCUCUUUAAUAGGUGAAUGUGCAUUGGUGGAUUCAAAUUCAACCUAUGGUGAAAAUCUUGCCAUGGGCACCGACAACUUUUCGGGCGUUGAGGCCGUAAAAUUGUGGGUAGAAGAGAAAGCAAACUACGACUAUGCAUCUAAUUCUUGCAAAGAGAAUACAUGUGGACAUUAUACUCAGGUUGUCUGGAAAAACACCCUUCAAGUUGGAUGUGCAAGAUUGAAAUGCGCAAAUGGCUUUUGGUGGAUUGUGUCAUGCAACUAUUAUCCCCGUGGAAAUUUCGCUGGCGAGAAACCUUAUUAAUUAAUUGAUUAAUUGAGUGCAUGUUUUUAAUACUUUUGUAUUUUAAUUACUUCCAUCCCAUCUAGGUCAAGUAUAUGUGUAAGGUUCCAAAUUUCGUCAUGUAACAGGCUGGGAAGUUGUCCAAGCUAGCCCUUGACAAAAUAGAAUUCAAUUAAUGACUAAUUUUGGAGGAAGUAUAUUUGAGUAUAUUCUUAAUGAUCAUGAGCUUACAUUUUACUUCAAUAUUUUGGUAGCAAUUUCAAUAUUAUUAGAGAUUCAUGAAGAUCUAGUGGAUAACUUUGCUCAUGUUCUGCUCUGAUCAGAUUGAAUCUCGUGGAUUUUAAAUACUAUCGACUUGUAUUUAUUUGAAUUGGCACGCACAAAUAUAUAUAUACACACCUUACAACAUGGACUGUUUAACGGGUAAGUCGGAUUGAAUUUAGAUCGGUCAAAAUUUAAAAACGUCAAUAGAUAGUAACUCUUCUAAAGAAAAGUUUGCGCUGAGAUGGGUUGGAUCAACAUCAGCCCAAGGCCCCGAAAGGUAAAAAAGAAAGUUUUGGCAACAGGAAUAUCACCCCCAAAGGCCUAGAAAGCAGAAAAGAAGUUUUGGGCCUACUGGCAAUAUCACCCCAAGGCCUUAGUAGCACCACCAACAACUAUAACAUAUCCAACAUAAUCGACUUCAAAAAAUUUGAAUUUUGUGUCUCAUAUCUUUUUAAAUAGUAAUUCACAACUUAAUCAAUCCAAAAGUAAAAGAAUUGGCUUAACCAAAUCCUAUAACUAUGGAUUUACAAAUUUUGCAUCCACAUUUUUGUGAGACAAAAAUGCGCCUCACACAACUAGUGUCGGCUAUGUAAGUUACAUAAUAAAAAUUCAGUAAUUUCAGAGACAAGAAAUUUUACAUAAUUAUUGUCAGUUAGUAAGACAUGUAAUAAAGUUUUUCAUGACUAUAUAUAAUGUAACUAUGUAUGAGCAUGUGAAGUGGUGGCGUCUUGUUGAGUUGAGCUAAUCCCACUUUAGAGUGGUCCUGUGUUGAUUGCAAUACUACGUUACACCACGAUAGAAAUUAAUAUAAAUUUACUUUGAGGAGGCUGGCUGCGCUUGACUAUGUAUAUAUAUUGGCAUUAAUUUAAACAAUAAAAAUGGGAUUACAGUAUAAUAUAAAAGAAUUACAAAAAUUACCUUCUACAACGAAUUAAAAUAUACCCAUAGCCAUUGUAUAUAUAUAUAAUACACAGUCUGUGAUUACUGGAGUUGGCCAAAUAUAAUAAUCAUGGCAAAAAUAGUGUUCUUCAAUAUUGUUUUUUUUAAUGGCGGCUUUUGCUUAAACGAAUAGUUGCAUGUAUUGACAUUCUUGGAAUAAGCAAUAUAGUUUUAUAUGCUUUUCAAUUUAUUUAUUUUUGCACAACUUGCAAAUUUUUUAACUCAGCAUUCUUCCCUAUUAAAAUCCAUCCACAGUAUGCCUUGUUCUCAUCAAAACCCGAAAUGGAAUACUCCAUUUUAGUUGCUUGUUUCCUUACCUUUGCUAUAUUUCAUUCAUCACAAGCUCAAAAUUCUCCACAACAAAAUUUUCUUAACGCUCACAAUGCAGCUCGUAGACAAGUUGGAGUCAGCCCUAUGACGUGGGACAAUAGGCUUGCAGCUUAUGCCCAAAAUUACGCAAAUCAAAGAAUUGGUGACUGCGGUAUGGUCCACUCUCAUGGCCCAUACGGAGAAAACCUAGCCGCCGCUUUCCCCCAGCUCAACGCUGCUGGAGCCGUGAAGAUGUGGUUCGAUGAGAAGAAAUGGUACGAUUAUAAUUCGAAUUCUUGUGCACCAGGAAAAGUAUGUGGACACUAUACUCAAGUGGUGUGGCGUAAUUCAGUACGUCUUGGUUGUGCCAGGGUUCGAUGCAACAAUGGGUGGGUUUUUAUAACGUGUAAUUAUGAUCCACCAGGUAAUUAUAUAGGACAACGCCCGUAUGGUGAUCUGGAAGAACAACCUGCCUUUGAUUCCAAAUUGGAUCUUCCAACUGAUGUCUAAUUAUGAGUUUACGUAAUCAAAUCAUGAAUGAAUAAAGUUUCAAUGUGUUAAUUAAAAUAAUAACAAGUGUUAUUAUGUGAUGUUAUCAAUCUUCCUGAUGAGUUUAAUGAUAAUGUAAUGGGUGCAUAGGUAAAUAUAUAUAGUCGAAAUUGAUGUCCAUAUAUAUAUGGAUCAUUUGGACCCGUGCAUCUGAAUGUUAGUUGAUUAACCAGUUUAUGUAGAGUCUUUUGUUGCUUGAUUUUUAUUAUUGUAUAUUCUAGUUUUAAAUCUUUUUGUUGGUACUUGGGGUUUGUCUUAGUGGUUUUUUUUCUAAACAAAAAAAUAAUCCAACCACCUAUUUUACAUAUUAAUGUAGAAACAGUUACUUAUAAGGAGGGGGAAAUAGGACCAAAGAACAAAUGGAAUUAUUACUAAGAUACAGGCAAAGGUAGCCUCAACUACGAAGGGUCGAAGUUAAAGACCACUCCGAAAUAAGGGCUGUCCGUACAGUUGAAAUUAUGUCACCAGGCCUACGUUCUUCAGAAAUUAAAAUUAUGUUCGAAUAUAACUCGUGAAAUAUUAUAAUAUAAAAAUAUAAACUAAUAUCUGAAAAAAAAAAAAUUUAAUGCUAUGAGGAACAUAUAUUAAAGACCAAAACAGUAAGAACAAAAGUGCAAAUCAUUUUAAUGUGCUAACUAGUUUUGACGCUGGACGACAUUGGUUGAAUUUAAGUUUUGUGUUCACUAUCAAUUAAAUUUGACUUAGCAUUGCUGGUUAUCUAAAAAUUGGAUAACAUCAAGUUUAUUUGAUAGUAUAAAACAUUUUGAUAGUAUAAAAUAUUUAAUGUGCUAGCUAGUUUUGACGCUGGACGACAUUGGUUGAAUUUGAGUUUUGUGAAUAUUCACCAUCAAUUAAAUUUGACUUAAUAUUGCAGGUUAUCUAAACUUUGGAUAACAUCAAGUUUAUUUGAUAGUAUAGAAUAUUUUAUACACUGAUAACACUUUUAUUUUAUGCUGACAACUUUUAAAUAAAAAUACCACAACUAUAUUUCAAGUAUAUUAUAUAUAGGGAUAAUUACAUAACUUAGCCAAUAUUGACUCCUAAUUACCUUAUUUAACCUAGUUUCAAUUAAUUACAAUUUAUAGCCUCCUCUUGCCUAUUAAUUUUUCAUAAUUACUAUUCAUAGUCUCUUUCAUGUAUUUUUUUUCUCUAUUUUCUAUUACUUUCCUUUUGUUUUUUCCUUCAUUUUUUCUUUUCCUUUUUUUUUUUCGUUUUCUCUUUCUUUUCUUUUUUUCAAUUUUUCUUUUUCGUUUUCUUUUUUCCUUUUGUAUUCUUUUUCUUUUUCUUUUUCUCCUUUUUUUUUUUUGAUUUUUUGGUCUAUUUUCUAUUAAUCUUUUUUUUUUUCCUUUUUUCUUAAUUUUUUUUUCGUUUUUUUGUUUUCUCUUUCUUCUUUCUUUUUUCAAUUUUUUUUUCCUUUUUCUUCUUUUUCUUUCUAUUUUUUUUCUCUCUAUUUUUCUAUUACUUUCCUUUUUUUGUAUUUUUUUCUUCUUUUUUUUCUUUUUUUUUUCCUUCUUUUCAUUUGUACGAACUAACAAACACAAACACAAGUGUGAAAUAUGUUUUUAUUUUUUCUUUUUCGUUUUUUUUUUUACUUUUGUAUUUUUUUCUUUUUCUUUUUGUUCCUUUUUCAUUUUUUUGUCUAUUUUCUAUUACUCUUUUUUCUUCAUUUUUUCUUUUCCCUAUUUUGUUUUCUCUUUCUUCUUUUUUUUGUUUUUUUUAAUUUUUUCUUUUUCGAUGACUUUUUUUCAUUUUGUCUCUUUUUUCUUUUUCUUCUUUUCCUUUUUAUUUUUUUCCUUUUUGUUUUUUAUUUUUUUCUCUAUUUUCUAUUACUCACCUUUUUUGUAUUUUUUCUCCUUUUUCUCACAUUUUUCUCCUUUUUUUUUUCUUUUUAUUUUUCUCCUUCUUUUCAUUUGUGCGAACUACAAAUACAAGUGUGGACUAUAAAAUAUAAAUACAAAGGCGAAUUAUAACAUAUAAAUACAAGUGGAAACUAUAAAAUACAAAUAUAAAUGCGAACUAUAACAUAUAGAUACAAGUGUGAACUAUCGUUUGUAUUUUUUAAUUAUUGAAAAGGAACGAUUGAUUUUCUUUAUACGAAUACUUGUUUGUAUUUAUUUAUAUAAGUUGUAUUUAUUGAUACAAAUAAAUAUAAUUUAAUUUUUUUUAUAAAAAUACAAUAUGUAUUUGUAUUUUUAAAAUCAUUGGUUUCAUUUAUUUGUAAUUGUAUUUGUAUCAAGUGAUAUUUAUUUAUUUACAAAUACGAAUAAUAAUUUUGACAUACAAAUACAAAGCAGUACAUUUGUAUCAAAUGAUAUAUUGCAUAUUUAUAUAUUUUAGAAUCAAGAAAAUACAAUUAAUGCAUUUACUUGUUUGUAUACAAAUACAAAUGAUAAAUUAUACAUAAUCACGGCUAAAUACAAUAUGCAAUCAACUUACAAAUACAAAAUAAUUGUUUAAAAAUGAAAAGACAUCGACGAAAAAAGAAUACAAAUACAAAUAUAAUCUAAAUAUACAAACACAAUAAAAUCAUAAUACAAAUAUAAUCCAAUAUAAUAUACAAUUAAUUAUAAAAUACAAAUACGUACAAAACAGUUCUUUAAAAUGCAAGUGUGAAUUAUAUAAAAUAUAAAUGAUGGUGCGAACUAACAAAUACAAAUAUAAGUGCGAACUAUAAAAUACAAAUAUAAACGCGAAUUACAAAAUACAAAUACAAGCGCUAACUUUAAAAUACAAAUACAGUUGUAUCAAUGAAUACAAAAAUUAAAUGAUGGCAUGACUACAAAUAGAUAAACAAUUAUGGUAUUUACGUUAUCAUCAAUGACUUGUGCUCGAGUAGUUAUAUUUUUUAAAAAUACAAAAAAUAUAAAAUAGAACAAAAAAAAUGAUAAAGAAAAUAAGUACAAAAAGGAAAAGAAAAAGAAAAAAAAAGAAAGAGAGAUAGAAGAGAGAAAAAAUAUAUAAAAAACAAAAAAAAAUAAAAAUAGGAAAAAUUAGAAAAAAGAAGAAGAAAAACGAGGAAAACGCGAAAAAGAAAAAAUAAAAAUAAAAUAAAAAAUAAAAAAAUAGUAGUGUUUUGACAAGACUAAAUAUGUAGUGUAUUUAUGUUUUUAGGAAUACAGAACACUGAGUAAAAGUGAAUACAGCUGCUGUGAAUUGAAUACAACAGCUAAAUGGUAUUGUAUUUAUAUUUAUAUGAAUACAGACUAUUGAUAAAAUUGAAUACAGCGGACGUAAAUUGAAUACAGCGGCUAUAAAUGAUAAUUAUGUAAAAUAUGACUAUGAAAGUUUAGUUUUUCAACAAAAUAUGACUAUUUUUGAAAGAUCCCCUUAUAUAUAUACACAUACACGAUUCCUAAUACGAUUCAUUCCGCACGUUAUUAAAAUAGAAAUUUACAUAAACACAAUCAGUUUAAUUUAUAAUAUGUUGAUAUGAUAUUUAUGCAUUUGAACUUCAAAAAGGAAUUAAAAAUUGUGGUAAUAUAAAUAUAAAAAGAAAAUAAGAAAAAAAGGAGAAGAAAAGGAACUAUUACCCACUAUCCACGCCCUAAAUUCACUCCCUAAUUUCUCGGGGUUUUGGAUGAAUAAGGAAAUUUACUAAUUAGGUUGUUUUGAGAAGAAUUCGGGCUUUUGGAUGUAUAAGGAAAUUCAUUAAUUAUUAUUAGGUUAUUUUGGGAAGAAUGCUAAAAAAUAUGUAAUGUGUAUUUUAAGAUUGUGUAGUUACCUUAAAAUCUCAAAAACUUUUUGAACUCAACAUUCUUCCCUAUUAUUAAAAUUUAAAACCCAUCCAUACUAUGCCUUUGUUCUCAUCAAAAGACAAAAUGAAAUACUCCAAUUUGGUUGCUUGUUUCAUUAUUAUCUUUUCAAUAUUUCAUUCAUCACAAGCUCAAUAUUCUCCCGAAGAUUAUCUUAUCCCUCAUAAUGAAGCUCGUAGACAAGUUGGAGUCGGCCCUAUGACAUGGAACGAUACUCUAGUGGCCUUCGCCCAAAAUUACGCAAAUCAAAGAAUUGGUGACUGCGGGAUGAUCCACUCUCAUGGUCCUUACGGCGAAUGCCUAGCUGCCGCUUUCCCCGAUCUCAAUGCAAGUUAUGCCGUGAAGAUGUGGGUCGAUGAGAAGGAAUGGUAUGAUUUUAAAUCGAAUACGUGUGCAUCAGGAUCCGGACAAGUUUGCGGACACUAUACUCAAGUGAUCUGGCGUAAUUCGGUACGUCUUGGUUGCGCCAGGGAUCGAUGCAACAAUGGGUGGUAUUUUAUAACUUGCAAUUAUGAUCCACCAGGUAAUUAUAUUGGACAACGUCCGUUAGGUGAUGUUGAAGCUGCAGCUGAACAACCAUCCUCCGAUUCCCCGUCGAAACCUCAAUUCAUGAAUAUAUGGAUAAAGUUUAUUCAUCAAUUGUUAAGGAAAAUAAAACCUAGUCUAGGCUAUGGUGAUGUUAUUAAUCUUACUCUGAUAUGGAUAAUAAUCUAUAAUGAUAUAGUGAAAUUCUCAAAAAUAUGUAGUCUAAAUUAUAUUGAUGUCUCAUAUGGACCGUUUGGACCCUUGCAUCUGCAUGUCAGUUGAUGAACUCGGAAUCAAAAUGAGCCACAAAAUUAAAAAAUGACCAAAAUAGUUCACCUAUUUAAAAAGUUAUCAAAAUAGGCUAAACGUAAUAAUUUAUUACGUUUUUCAUUUUUUUGUUAAUGGUCAACAAACAGAGUUGACUUUUACAAUAACGUAAGAUUUUCUUACGUUUUACACAUUUAUUGUAAAACGUAAGAAAUUCUUACGUUUUAUGAAAAAAAGUAAAACGUAAGAAUUUCUUACGUUUUACAUGAUGGUCAAGGAAAAAUAAUGCAGUGAGUUGUCUAAUCUGUAUUAAAUAUCCUUUUUCGAAAAUUGUGCAACAACAUAAUAAAAAAUUACGCUGUACACUUUUACUUGACACAACGCAAUUAAAACUUGCGUAUUACACUUUUAAACUGUUUACUUUAUUAAAAACUUAAGGUGUUCCACUUUUUAAAAAUUGUCCAUUUUUUUUUUAUUAUAUUGUCUCAUCGCCUGGUCUUCAUCCCUACUUUUUCCACUUUUUACGUUUGACAAUUAUAAUUUUUUUUAUUUUAUGUAGUUAAAUUUAUUUAUAUUUUACACUUAAUUCAAAUAAUUUAUUUUUGCUCUGUGUAAUAAAUUUUUACGUUUUACAUAAAAAAAUUAAAAAAAAAAGAGAAGUAUCAAUUAGAUCAUUAACUUAACAAUUUUGUUAUAGUUAUUUUAUGUCAAAAAAUAAUCACUUCUAUCCUUAAUUAUUUGAUUUUUCUCUAAAAAAAUUAUACUUUGAGUUUUUCUUUACUCCAAAAUAGUAAAAUGUUGAAUUUUCGUUGAUAUAUUCUUGUUUUACAUCUUUCUGUUGGCACUUGGGGUGUUGUUAGUGUUUUCUGCUCGAUUUGAGUUUACCAACUAAAAUCUAUACUAUGAACAUGUACAAUUUUUAAUACUAUAAGGUCAAUUAAAAAAUAUUCUAUAGUAAUAUUAAAACUAGUAACUUGGAAGUCUGUCAAAUUACUGCUAUAACGGAUUACAACACACUGGUUGAAUAAAUAAUUUUUUACAUUACAUUGCAAUUUUGUAAAAGAUUGCUAUCACCACUUAUUUUUUUAUUUUAAUUUAAUGUGACUAUUUCUCAAAGUUAGCCCAAGCAUUUAUGUCUCGCCCAAUCACCCCUAGCUUAAUAGGUUUGGACAAGAGCGGUUUUGACAAUGGGUUAAUUUGGGCUAGCACAAGUUGACUCAUCUUGAAUCAAUAGCCCUAAAAGACCCAUUGUGACUCAUGGGUAUGACCUAUUGAUCAGUAAAGUGGAUUAAGAAUCUGAGAUCUCAGGUUCAAAUUCCAGCAGAGACAACAAAACACUUGAUGAUACUUCCCAUCAAUCAUAGUCGUGGUGAAUAGAGUUAUCCGAUAUCUGCUACUAGUAAGAGGCGACAGGUGUUCUGUAUAUUUAGACGAGGUAUAUUUAGACCACAAUUAUCAUAAAUACAUAUUUAAUCUUAGCUUCUGAGGUUCAACUCUAGAUUAAGAUUUUUGCAUAUCACAAUUGUUUAAUUUUAUUUUUUUCAUUAUCAUAUACUAUCAAUAUAGGCUGCAAAUUCAAAAGUUGAGGUUUUGAAACAAGGUAUCCAAUACAGAUAGAAAUAAAAAAAGUACGAAUAUUUACUUUUAAAUUUAAAAUAUUGCAAGCAGCAAUGACAAAUUCAAUUGUCAAAAUUGAAUUAUCACUUCAUUAUUUUAUAGAUUUCUUUUAUAUUCGAUGGUGAAAUAUAAAGGAAAACAGACAUGGUAAAGCUCUUUUUAAAAGAAAUUGCUCGAGAUUGGGCCUAUUGACAUAAAAUAUCCUGUUGGGUAUAUUUAUGAUAUAUAAUAGCUAUUUCUUAUUCUUUUUCAAUUUGGGUCAUUUUGACCCAUUAGUUCAAAUACAGUUUAUAUACUGUAUUAAUUCAGUCCAUAUACAAUACUGAUACAGUUUUCAACUUGAGUCAUUCAGUUCUUUUCUAAAAAUAUUUUCUGUUUUUUCUGGGGAAAAGGUCAGAAACAACACUUCAAAUUAAACUAUUUCCACGAAAAUGGCCGUGAAAUUUAAAUUCCACUUUCUAGCCAUUUUAAUUUGCUAGCCUAUUCUAUAUUAUUUCUACACACUUUCUAUACAGUUUCUAUCCAUAUUUUAUACAUGUAAACAUCCUAUACGAAAACUAUACAGUUUUGAUACAUAAUUUAUACAAUAAUUGUACUUUUCUUUUUUUUCCACAUUUUAUACAAUUUCUAUACGUAUAUCUUAUAUCGAUACAUAUUUUAUAUAACAAUUAUACCAUCUUUAUAUAAUUAUAUUUAAUUAUUAUUUCUAAACAAUUAAAAAAAGCAAAAUAUUUUUCAGUUAAAAAAUUUAUAACAAAAAAAACUAAAAUAUUUUUAAAAGGGCCGAAUGACCGUACUUGAAAAUUGUAUUAGUGUUGUAUAUGGACUGUAUCAUUAUUGAAUAUGCACUGUAUUUGAACUACAUGAGCCAAAAUGACCCAAAUUAAAAAAUGAUUAUAAAAUGAAAAUACUUUAUCCGACUGGCCACUUUUUGGCCAAAUCUCAAACUUGGGCUAUUUGUUUUAAAAUGUGUUACAUAGUGUCUUUUUCCUUUUUUUGCUACAAAUUUUUUAACUUAAAAACAUUCUGCUUUAUUUUAGUUUUUUUAAAAUAAUAAUUAAAUAUAAUUAUAUAAAAACGCUAUAAUUGUUAUAUAGAAUAUGUAUCUACAUAAGAUAUUUGUAUAGAAAUUAUAUAAUUCUAUCAAAUAUGUAUAUGCAUAACAUAUGUAUAUAUGUAUAUAUAUAUAUAUAUAUAUAUAUAUAUAUAUAUANNNNNNNNNNNNNGAAAAAAUGUACAGUUAUUGUAUAAAUUGUGUAUUGAAACUAUAUAAUUUUCGUAUAGAAUAGUUAUAUGUAUAAGAUAUGUAUAGAAACUGUAUAGAAAGUGUGUAGAAACUGUAUUAAACAAACCAGCAAAUUAAAAUGACUAGAAAGCGAAAUUUAAAUUUCAUGGUUAUUUUUGUGGAAUUUAUUUGAUCUGAAAUAUCAUUUUUGUCCGAUUUUUAAAUAUAAAUUUAAAAAUUAUAUCAUCCUAUUAAAUAAUUAAUUAAGUUGGACGGAUUGUAUUAUGAUCCCUUAUUUACUCUAUCAUAUCCCAUCUCAACUUUAGAAGGAUUCAAUAAUAACCAAUUUAUUGCUUCAACCAAUCUUGAUCCGUCCAAACUCAGGCCAAAUGGCCCAUUUGCCUUUCCCACCAUAUCAUAAUGUGGCUACUUUGCGGCAGGACGACAUUGAUUGAAUUUGAAAUGGGCCGGUGCCGAAAUUGAAGAACUCACGAUAACAUUAAUUGAUUGGUUGAUUCAAAAAGGAGCAACAAAGUAUUGGGAGUUUUAGCAACAGAAAACAUUAAUGGAUUAAACAAAUAGUACUCCUAGUAAUGGAUAACAGUAAUGGAAAUAGCUAAUUAGGGAGUUUCAAUAUAGUGAAACAUCAAAAUCGAGAAAUGUUACGUUAUAGAUAUUAAUCAAAACUUAAGAACGGUUUAUCAAGUGUUGUUCAUUAAAUUCUUUUUCCUGCUUCAACUAUAAUAAAAAAAACGUACAUUAAAUUUCAAGCACGAUAUCUAACAUGACGGACUUUUUGUGCAAAUAGAUUUUCAAAUCAAGAAAAAGGUGGUGUUAAAAGAAUAAAGUGAAAGUGCAAUUAAUUUUAAAAAAUAAAGAAAUAUAAUGCUAUAAUUUUAUUUGCUUUUCAAAUAUGGCUAAAAGUUGCGCUAAUAAGUAACCGUUCAAUUUGAUUGUUCUUUUACAACUUGCAAACUUUUUAACUCAGCGUUCUUCCCUGUAAAACCCAUCCAUACUAUGUCUUGUUCUCAUCAAUAACCAAAAUGAAAUACUCCAAUUUGGUUGCUUGUUUCAUUAUUACCUUUUCUAUAUUUCAUUCAUCACAAGCUCAAAAUUCUCCUCAAGAUUAUCUUAACGCUCACAAUGAAGCUCGUAGAGAAGUUGGAGUCGGCCCUCUGACAUGGGACAAUAGGUUAGCAGCCUAUGCCCAAAAUUACGCAAAUCAAAGAAUCGGUGACUGUGGGAUGAUCCACUCUCACGGCCCUUACGGCGAAUGCCUAGCCUUCGCUUUCCCCGAUCUCGAUGCGAAUUAUGCCGUGAAGUUGUGGAUCGAUGAGAAACAAUCGUAUGAUUUUAAAUCGAAUACUUGUGCACCAGGACAAGUAUGCGGACACUAUACUCAAGUGAUAUGGCGUAAUUCGGUACGUCUUGGUUGCGCCAGGGUUCAAUGCAACAAUGGGUGGUAUUUUAUAACGUGCAAUUACGACCCACCAGGUAAUUAUAUAGGACAACGUCCGUUAGGUGAGGUUGAAACUGAAGCUGAACAACCAUCCUACGAUUUCACGUCAGAACCUCCAACUGAUGUCUAAUUAUUAUGAGUUUACACGAUCAAACUAUGAAUGAAUGAAGUUUAUUCAUCAAUUAUUAAAGAAAUAAAAUCCUGGCCAAGUGAUGUUAUUGAUCAUACUCAGUUGGAUAAUACAAUCUAAUGGCAUAGUGAUGGGAGAAAUAUAUGUAGUCUAAAUAUUGAUGUCCCAACUCUCAUAUGGAUCGGUCCGUAUGUACCUUUGCAUCUGCAUGUUAGUUGAUUAAUCAGUAUAUGUAUGUGUUUUGUUGGUUUAUUUAGUUAUAAUGAUAUUUUUGUUGGCACUUAGUGUGAUAUGUGGUAGCUUAUAUUAUUGCUUUCGGCUCAAUUCGAGUUUACCAAAUUAAAUCUAUACUAUGUAUGAUCAUACAUUUUUUAAAAAGUUAUUUUAAACCUGAAAUAGAUUCGUCUAAUUAUUAAAAUAAAGAUUAUAAAUCUAAGUAUAAAGCAAAGAGAAAGAAUUACUAUAAAGGUAAACACCUAGUUAUGAAUCUAGAGUGUAAAUAGUUACUAUAGUAUGUACCGUUAAAAAUUUUAUAUGUGAAAUUAUAAUUUAAGUAUUUCGGUUCUUUUUUUUUUUUUUUUUUUUUUUUUUUUUUAAAAUUUUAUCGGUUUUGAAAUUUUAAAACCAAACCAUAUCAAAAAUGUAUUAGCCUUUUUCUUCAAUUCGAUUUUUCAAUUUAUCGUGAACCUCUUAGAUGUGGAAAGAGAGCCGUUAGCACAAACGCUAACUAUUGAUAACGGAUUAAGUUGCCCUCUCCUCAAUCAAUCAAUCAAUAGGGAGAGUUUUAGAAUUGUUGAUGGAGCGCUCUCUAAGAGCUGGAUUUUUAUUUAUCAUUUUUGUUAUUUUCUGGGUUUUUCUUUCUAAUUUUAAAAGUUAGAAAAUUAUAGGGAAGCCAAAAAGCAGUUCGAAUGCAAAAGAUGUUACUCUUCAUUAAAACGUUUUUCAACUUCUUAUUCAUUGUAUUUAUUGCAUGAACCCAUAAAAGAUUUUCCUAAUUUUAUUCUUCAAAAAAUUUGUAGAAAAUUAAGUAUUUUGAUUUCUCUCGAAUUUUUUUUUUGGCGUUUAAUUAAUGCCAUUUAUUAGAAUUCUUUAACUGUCAUUGUCCUUCGAACAGUCACUAUGUUCCUACUAAUUGCUUUCUGACAAUUUCCAGCUAAAUUCAUGCAUUAAUUGGUCAUUACUACUAUAAAAUGUCAUUUAUUCUUGCUUGACAGUUUUCACCUGCAUUGCAAAAUUAACUAGGCCUAAUCUCUUAUAAACAAUCCUACUUUCACCAUUUGCUUCGUUGGAGAAUCAGCCUUUUUCUUUUUUUUUUUUUUGGAACCCAAGAAAACUCGCAGCCGCUAUCAAUGGUGCGCACUGGGUAAAUCCCUCUCUGUGUAAUAGCCUGCAAACCACACAAGAGAUAUAAACAAGAGAUAUAAACUGCACUAGAUAAACCCCGUGUGAUAGGCUCAUGUCUUAAAGGCAUUGAAGGGGGAAUCGAUCCCAGGUAGCUGUGGUGGGCUACCACCCUCCAAAUCAGUGAGCCAGUCCCGAAGGACGCCUUUUUUUUCUUCUUCUUUCUUAAGAAAAAUUUUAAGCUUCAGUUUAAUUAUUUUAUUUUUAUUUGUAUGUAUAAAUGGAUAGAUGAUAAUAACGACAAUUGUAUUCUGUGGCGAAGUCAGAAUUUUCAUUGAGGGUAAGUGCACACACGAGGAGGUUCAACAUCUACUAUGUAUUCAUUCAUUGUAUGUCAUCUCCGCCACUGAUUGUAUUAACAUUUGAAUCAUUGAUAAAAUGAGGUUGUAAAUAUUUUCAUUUGCAUUGCAAUUUGCAAAAUUACCUUGGCCUUUUCUCUUGUAUACACUCCUACUUUCACUAUCUGCUUUGUUGGAGAACCAACUUUUUUUUUAAUUCUUAAGCUUCAAUUUAAUUAUUUUAUUUAAUUUGGACGUAUAGAUGAUAUAAGAACUAUUACGAUCAAAUAAUAAUAGUUGUAUCAAGUGGCGAAGUCAGAAUUUUCAUUGAAAAAAUUUAAAUGUGUGUACAUGAGGAGGUUCAAUAUCUAUUAUGUAUUCAUUCAUUGUAUGCUAUCUCGAUUGUAUCAACAUUUGAAGCAUUUAUAAAAUUAGAUUGUAAAUGUUUCUCGGCAUUAGCUUCAAGGCUAUUUUAAGGCAGUUCACAUAAUUAGAAGAUGAAAGGGACAAAUUGAAGACCUGAAGCAGAUUGUCAGGAAGAUCAACGUAACUUAUAUUUAUCUGACUUAAUUUUUUUAGCACUUUCUUAAUUCAUCGUCUUUGCUCAAUUUUUUUUGGUUAUUCUAUUCUGACCUUUUUUUAAAAAAAAUUCAUUCGUUAGCUGUAAUUACUUUUAUUGAAUAUAUUUAUGAUUAAAUCAAUAGAUCUUUAACAAUUUUUCAUAGCAAUAAUAACUAAUCAAUGAAUAUUUAUUUAAUUUUAAAUAUUUUAGAAUGAUAAAUUUGGAAAAGGUUAUAAAAAAAAAAUUAUUCGCUCUUUAUAAAUGUCAUCAAUAUGCUCUUUUUUAUUUUGAUAUGUCUUUGAAAUUUGCUUGAUUUUCUUUUUCUUUUUUUCCUUUUCAUGUCGAUUGUUGUCCUAAAAUGUUGUCAUGUCCAAUUGAAAUAUAUAGUCCUUUCUCUCAAUAUGGUACUUGUAUUUUUUUUCCAUUGGAAUAUAAUUAUCUUUUAUUAUUUGAAAAAUUAUAAGGAAUAAUUUUCUUUGUUCUAAAACUGUGGUAAAUAUUUUAGUAUGAAAAUAUCGGUCAACACUCAACACAUAGUGAGCCAAGUAUCUAUCUACUCUCAGACGGAAGUGAUUUAAUCACCUUAUUUUUUCCCCAACUAAUCCUAAUUUUAUAUCAUUUGUUAGGUGCUCUGAUCCUCUUAUUUAAUUAAGAUUGAAUUAUUUUUAAUAUUUUUUAGUUUCCACAAAAAAAUACUUAUAAAAUCAUUUUUAAUGUUCAUGCAUUAACAACGACAAUUAUUCAUAAAUUUAACAGGUUUUAUAUGAUUGUGUAAAGCGCAAUUAAGUUACCUAGUUAUUGAAUAAAUAUAUUUGAGUGAAGCAUAUUUUUCAUUGAAAGGGGAAUAAUUCUAGGUGAAAAUUAUUUUCCUUAUAGCUAUUUUAAUUUUAAAUUUUGAGCACUAUUGCUAACGUCAACAUUCAAAUUAAACAUCAUUUGGACGUUAUUGUCAAAAUGCAAUAUCUAAAAUUCUCAUCGUAAUACUUUCCAAUUUGCUAAUAUUAUUAUUAAAAUCCUAAAAAAUUACAACGAUGCAAUAUUUUAGUAAAAUUUGUAAAUAUUAGCAGCAAUGGUUAAGUUAAUAAUUUAUCUGAUUAUUUACAGCAAAAAAAAAAAACAACUUAAUUAACAAACUGUGGCAGCUAAAUAUUUGACCUCCAUAACAUAAUUCUUCUAUCAAAUGAAUCCAACGAUAUAUUCUUUCCUACUUUCCCCUAAAAAUUAUCUCCCAUAAUUAAGUAACAAACAAAUCCAAUCAAUCCGAUAAUCACGCUUAAUUAAGCUCUCAAUUCGUACUCAAACCUUCCAUAUUUUCUCUCUCAAUAAUUGACUUCCUGGAUAAUUAUGGUGUGUUGCAGAUUUAAUAAGAAAUAUUAAAUUAUAUAAGAAUUAUAUUAAUUAAAUUAAUUGUAUAUCAAUAAAAUAAUUUUAAUAUAUUGAGAAUUUGUUAGAAAUAUUUAAUUAUAUAAAUUGUUUGGUAAUAUAAUGGUACAAUUUAUAUGUGUGUGUCUUAAUGUAAUUGUAUAAAAGGUACAACGGUGAAAUUAAUUAUAUAUUCCGUAAUAAUCCGAGUAUAUUUUAAAUUUAAUAAGGAAUAGCUAAUUAAACAAAUCGUAUAAUUCAUAAAGAGUCCGUUUUUUCAAGACAAGAAAUCGACGACAUCCAUAGUAGAUAAAAUAGAUCGAGGAUACCUACUUCAAUCAUUGACAUUUUAAAUUAAUGGAUUCGUUAUAACAAUAUUUCAUAAUAGAUAUAUAUGUUUCAAUAAUUAUAAAAAGGUUAAAUUUAAUUAUGACGAUCAUUCAUUAUAACAAUUUCAUUUUCUAUCUAAUUGAUUUUUCAUGUUAUAUUUUAUUUAUCUAUGACAACAACAUUCUUGUUAUAACAAUAAUAAUAUUCAUUAUAACAGUAUGCUAGCUUUUUGUAAUAGAUGGAUUUGGCUCCUCUACAUUUUUAUUCUCUCCAUUUUUUUUCAAGUUUCUAUUGAAUGGGUAAAAUCUAAUUAUUCUAAAAUACAACUCUAAUUAUAGUUUAGAUAAUAAAUACAUUAUAUAUUUAGUUUAAAAAAAUAUUUUGAUCCCACAUUCUUACAAAUAUGUUCAUAAAUAACGCAACAAAAAAAAUUCUCUUCCUACGCAAGAAUUCCAUCUUUUAAUUUAUUUGUCAAUUAAUUUUUUUUAUUUUCUAUUUUUUUUUGUAACUUUUUGUUUAAUAAUUAUCUUUUUUUUUUUAAAAGUGGGUGAAAUAAAGUAGGAGAAAUAAUCGGCUCUUCUAUUUUAAAUUAACUUUUUAUCACUUUUUGGAACCUUUUUUUUUUAAAUUAGAUAUUUUAAUUUCUUUGAAAUAAGUGAAAUAAAAUAGGGGAAAAUGAGAGAAAUCUCUCGUAAUCUAAAUUAAUUUUUUUAUUGUUUUAUUUUUUCAAAAAUAUUUUUUUCUUUAACAAUCAUCUGUUUUAUUUUCUUUAAAAUGAGGGAAAUAAAUAAGGGGAACAUAGGUGAAAUAAAGUAGGAGAACUUAUCCGCUCUCCUAUUUUAUUUCGUCUAUUUUAAAGAAAAUAAAUAGCUAGUAAUUAUUAAGGAGGAAGUUCCAAAAUGCGAUAAAAAGUUUAAUUUAAAUAGAAAUUAAAAGUUGGACCAUGAGUAUGAAAAAAAAUUAGGAAGAAAAGAAUUUUUGAUGCUAUAUAAAAAAAAUUAGGAAGAAAAGAAUUUUUGUUGCUAUAUUUAUGGACAUGAUAAUAUGUUGCUAAAAUUGUGGGAUUACAAUAAUUUUUUAAACUAAAUAUAUAAUGUAUUUAUUAUCUAAAUCAUGAUUAGAGAUUUAUUUAGAAUAGUUAAAUCUUAUCCAUUCAAUUUAAACUAUGUCAUAUAUAUGCCACUAAUCAAGAUAAGAACUUGAAAAAAAUAGAAAGAGUGAAAAUGAAGAGGAGUCGGAUCCGUAAUAGAUGACCCUUCUGUAACAAUCAUACUUAAAUUUAUGUAGCAAUAUUUUAAAAGAAAUAUAUUAAAUAUAAAAUAAAAUAUUAAAAUGUUUGUAAUAAUCAUUAUUAAUAUCAUGAAUAUAGAAAAAUUUCAAAUAUGAUUAUCGUCUAAAAGGAAAAGUACUGUAUCAAAAUAGUGUUCAUUAAUUAUGGAACAACUAGUUUUGAAUUUAUUAUUUAUGUCUUAGUCUUUUCAAUUUUUUAUUAACGAAUUAUGGAAAUUAAUCGAGAAUAUAAAUUUAAAAAGUAUUUAAUUUUUAUUUAUAACAUAACACGUAUAAAAUCUAAUUUACAUAUUUUUAUUUGUAAUAGCUAAAUAAAAUUUAAAUGUCAAUUUAUAUUUAUAACAUCAACUCACUGAUAUUAUAGCAAUUAUGACACUUUCGUACAAAUAUUAUUACUAUAAAAAAAUUUAAUAAUAUAUUAAUCAUUGAUUUGAUGUAAACACCUUAGAAAGUUAAUUUUGUCACAUCUUAUUAGCUAGCUCAGUUUUCUUGCUUCAACUAUGUCAUGUAAGAUUUACGUUAUCCAAGCUUAGACAUAGUAUAUAAGAAGCUAUUUGAAUUGAUUUAUUUUUAAGUGUUUUGAAUUUUUAAAUAUUAUUUUAUUUUUAAAUAUAUUUGACAAAAACAAAAAGAAUUUUUAAAUAUUUACUUUUGUACUUAAAAAAUAUAUAAAAAAAAAACAAAAAUUAAAAAUAAACCACCAUCUACUUUUUAACUUUUGACUUUUAGCAACACCCUCUGACUUUAAUGGGUUCCUGAAAAUUAUUUUCCAAGUCAAUGCAAAAAAAAAUAUAUAGUGUUCAAAGAAUAAAAUGAAAGAAAAUAAUGAUUUAUUGGAGUUGUUCCGAGAAAAUGGUCUAAAAUUCCUCAAAUCUAUACUCAAAAUUUCAACUACACAUUUCAUCUUUAGGGAAUUUCUAUGACCCCCCUGAUCUAUUUAAAAUUGAAAUUAUUACUCCCUUAAAAACUCACAAUCACAUAUGUAUUGGGAAGUGAUUAUCACGCUGUCCACGUAAUGCCACAUAAUAUUACCACCUAAUAUUUUAUUUUUAUUAUAAAAAAUUAAUUAUUUUACUUUUUCUUUUAAUAUUUUCCUUUUUCAUUCUCCUUUCUCUUUUCUUUUUUCUUUAUCUGUAAAUUUUUCACCUUUCAUUUUUUGAACGAUCGGAGAGGCAACAAGAUGGUGAAGAAAAUGACUGCAAAUAAAUAUUACGUGAAUUUCAAGCCAUAGGUUCCGAAUCAAAUCUAAACUGAUCAAAGAAAAAUCUACAAUAAUCUUUCUUCUUAAUUUGGAAUUGAAAAUGAAAAAGUAUAUCUUGUUAAUUUUAUUUUAGAUUUGCUUAAUUUUAGAGUCGAAAUGAGGAGUUAAAAAGUUGGAAUAAGCGUCGGAGAUCGAAUAAAUUGUUGUUGUUGUUGUUAAUUUUGCAAAGGAAACUCUUUCUUUCUCUCUCGUUUUUUCUUUUAUUUUUUUGCUUCAAGAAAAUUUAGUGCUUUAGGCUUAUUGGUGUGAAUUUUUUCUAAGAAAAGAGAACGAAUCUCAUCAACUCUAUUUUCAUUUUUUUUUUUUGUAACUUUGUAUCAUUUUUCAUGGAAUUUUGAAUUUUCUGUUUAAAAUGAAAUAAAUAGAUUUUUUUGUGGAUUUUAUAUUUGGGCACAUCCAUGAAUUAAAUAGAGAAAGAUGAAGAAGAAAAUGAAUUGGAGAUGAGAAAUUAAUCUUGGACACCAUUGAUGAGUUCUUGAACCUUUUUGUUUUGAGAAAGAGAAGCAGAAGAAGAAACAAAACGUAUAAGGCAAAAAAACCUUUUUGUUUUGAAUCUUUUUGAAGAAAAUUAUUAACCCUAAAGCUUUAAUUUAGAAUUUGAAAAUUUUAAAUGGUAGACAACAAAAUUCAAACUUCAAGCUUUGAAAAUGACAAAAAAAAAAAAGGAAAAAGAUGGAGGAUUUAAUGGCUAAGAAAUGAGGAUUUUUUAAAAAGAAAAUUAAAAAAAAAAAAAUUACACAUGGCUUAAUAAAUGCAGAUUUGUGUACUUUAGACAAGUUUCACGGGCCUAAGGAAAGUGUAUACACCUUCUUGGAUAGGUCAGCAUUUUAGGAUCACAAAAUAUCAAAAAUAAAGGUUCAAAGGGAUAAUAGGAUUUUUUAUAAAAGGUUCAAAGAGGCAAUAAAACUUUUAUAAAAUUUGAGCGUGUAGUUGAAAUUUCAGAUAAAAAUUGAAGGGGUCAUGGACAAUUUUGUCGAGUUGUUCCAGCAAUCACGUAUUAUCGAGAAUGACUAGUCUUCACCAACCCCCCCCCCCCCCCCCCAAAAAAAAAAAAAAAGAGAAUGACUAUUGACUAGUCACCACUCACCAGUGACAGUACUUGAUUAUCACUUCAACAAAUAGUUGCAUAAUGUGACAUGACAUUCAUAUGAACUAUGUUAACAAUUUAUAUUUUGUCGUUUUAAUUUUUCUUAUUGACCUGAUUUUAAUUUGAUAUAAUUUUUUUUUUUAAAAAAAAUAAUUUUAUAAUGCUAAACUAGAAAUAUGAAUAAUGUAUUAAAAUAUCUUUUGACCUUGUGAUCUUAAAUAUAUCAUAUAAAAAUUAAAAAAAAUUUAAAAGUUGUUGAAAAAAAAAAGAACUUUUUAAAAUAAACUAUCAAGGAAAUUACUACAAACAAAUUGAAAUUGAGAGAAACUAAACUAUCAAUUAUAUUCAAUCCCUUUCACAAAUUGUAGACUAUUUGACUCUUCUUCCCUAUAUAAAACCCACCCAAAUUAUUCCUUGAUUCUCAUCAAUACUCAUAAUGGGACUCUUCAAUUCCUUAAUUGUUUGUUUUCUAAUUACCUUUUCUAUAUUUCACUCAUCACAAGCUCAAGAUUCUCCUCAAGAUUAUCUUAACGCUCACAAUGAAGCUCGUAGACAAAUUGGGGUCGGCUCUAUGACAUGGGACAAUAAGCUAGAGGCCUUUGCCCAAAAUUAUGCCAAUAAAAGAAUUGGGGAUUGCCGGAUGCAGCACUCCAGUGGCCCUUACGGCGAAAACCUAGCUGUUGGCUACCCUCAGCUCCAUGCUGCUGGUGCCGUGAAAAUGUGGGUCAAUGAGAAUCAAUGGUACAAUUAUAAUACAAAUACUUGUGCACCAGAAAAAGUAUGUGGACACUAUACUCAGGUUGUGUGGCAAAACUCGGUACGUCUUGGUUGUGCUAGGGUACGUUGCAACAACGGAUCGUAUUUUAUAAUUUGCAAUUAUGAUCCACCAGGUAACUGGAGAGGAAAACGUCCCUAUGGUGAUCUUGAAGAACAACAACUGGCCUUUGAUUCCAAGUUGGAACUUCCCAGUGAUGUCUAAGAGUAAAUAAAAUCAUGAAUAAUGCUUAAUUCACGUGUUAAUGAAAAUAAAACCCAGUACUAUUUGCUAUAUAUGUUGGAUGUUAUCUUACUAGCUCAGUUGGAUAAUUAUCCAAUGGUGCAGAUCUAGUGACUGGUUAACCUAGGGGAAAUAUGUUGUCUACAUUGAUAUUCAUAUGGACCCUUGCAUGUUGUUUAAUUUAAUCCAAUCACUUUAUAUAUGAGUAUUUUGUCUACUUUAUUUUAUUCAUGUUCCUAUUUUACAACUUUGGCACUAUGGGGUGUGGGUUGUAUUUUCUAGUUUAAAUCUAUAUACGGACAAUAUACUAUUUUUUUACACACUAUUAAUUAAGUCAUCAAGAAAUAAUUCAUAACAACAAAUAAAUUAAUAUAACCUCGAAAAUCUGCUACAACAUCUGAGCAUGUUAAAUACUCUGAUAAAUUAAAAUUAUUUUUUCGUACACUAACAUAAUGUGUGCAAGUUAAAUAGGUAAUUUUGACCGUUGUACUAAUUCACAAGCCUAUUUUUGUUAAUUGUUUUAUAUACAUUUCUAAGUGUUCUAUCUUGAUAUGAUAUAAUAUUUUUUGGACCGCUACUCCUACUUUUCGGGUGUGCAUGGUGUAAACGCAACAACAACAACAACAAAUCCAGUGUAUUCUCAUAAAGUGAGGUCUAGGGAGGGUAAAAUGUACGUAGUCCAUGUCACUACCUCCGAAGAAGUAGAGAGGCUGUUUCCGAUAGACCCUCGGCUUAGGCUAAAGAAUAGUACACAAGGUCGUAGUGAAACAUGAAGCAGGAUGGAUGACAUAACGUAAAUAAGGAAUAAGCAAUAAUAAAAUAGAUAUCAUAGAUAUAUGAAAUAAGAGAAAUAUGAGUAAUUGAAAAAAAGAAAAAAGAGAUAGGACACCCACCUUGUAGUAAUACACACCCACAGACCAAAGACACCAACCACACAAACCCUACUAACUAGGGGCUCCUACUAAUGGACACAAUCCUAUGCUUACUAACCCAGUUACACAAGAUCUCUACUAACAUCUUGCUACAACCCACACACUCACAAUAGCCUUCUAUCCUUAUCCGCAACCUCCACAGCUUCCUAUCUAGGGUCAUGUCCUCAGUAAGCUGAAGCUGCUCCAUGUCAUGUCUAAUUAUCUAUCUCCAGUAUUUUUUCGGCCUACCUCUACUCCUUAUAAAGUCAUCAAAAGCUAACCUCUCGCAUCUACGAACUGGGGCAUCCGUGCCCCUCCUCAUCACAUGUCCAAACUAUUUCAGCCUUUCUUCUCGCAACUUGUCCUCCACUGAAGCCACUCCCAUCUUCUCCCUGAUAGUCUCAUUCCUAACUUUAUCCCCUCUAGUAAGUCCACACAUCCAACACAACAUUCUCAUUUUCGCCACCAUCAAUCGUUGAAUGUGGGAGUUUUUGACUGGCAAACACUCCGCUCCAUAUAGCAUGGCCGGCCGGACUGCCACUCUGUAGAAUUUGCCUUUAAGCUUAAGGGGAACCUUCUUAUCGUACAACACCCUUCAUCCAACCUGCUCUAAUACGUUUAGAGACAUCCUCAUUAAUCUUGCCAUUCCCCUGAAUUAUAGAUCCAAGAUACUUAAAACUAUCUCUCUUACAAAUAUUCUAGAAUCCAACCUCUCCACCACUUCUUCCUUCUGACUCGAGUCACUAAACUUGCAUUCCAUAUAUUCCGUCUUCGACCUACUCAACCUAAAAUCCUCAAAUUCAAGGGUUUGUCUCCAAACCUUCAGUCUUUUAUUCACACCUUUCCGUGUCUCAUCAAUCAACACUACAUCAUCUGCAAAUAACAUACACCAAGGCACCUCACCUUGAAUACUCCGCAUCAAUACGUUCAUCACCAAAGCAAACAAAAACGGGCUAAGAGUCGAUCCCUUAUGCAAUCCUAUCUCGAUCGAAAAAUGCCCUGAGUCUUCUCCUAGCGUCCUCACUCAGGUCUUUCCUCUAUCAUACAUGUCAUUAAUAGCUAUGAUGUACGCCAUCGGGAUCUCUCUCACCUCCAAGCCUCUCCAAAGAACCUCCUUAAGGACUUCGUCAUACGCUUUCUCCAGGUCAAUGAACACCAUGUGCAAAUCCCUCUUCCUCUUCCUAUACUGCUCCACAAUCUCCUCACCAGGUGGAUUGCCUCUGUCGUUGAGUAACCAAGCAUAAAACCAAACUGGUUCUCUAAAAUAGACACGAACCUCGUCAAUCACCGCUCAACCAGCCUAUCCCAAAUUUUCAUAGUGUGACUCAAUUGUUUAAUACCCAUAUAGUUGUUGCAACUCUGAAUCUGACCAUUGUUUUUAUAUAACGGAAUCAUCGUACUCCAUCUCCAAGCCUCAGGCAUUCUCGUAGUCUUGAAAAUGUCAUUAAACAAAUCAGUCAGCCACCUUAAACCUGCUACACCUGUAUAUACUUCCAAAAAUCCAUCGAUAUCUCGUCAGGCCCCGUUGCUCUACCCCUCCGCAUCCUACGAAUAGCCUCUCUGACCUCCUCAACCUUAAAACAUCUAUAGUAACUGAAGUCACGGCUCCCCUUCGAGCGCUCCAUCUCCCCUAACUCAAUGCCUCUGUUUCUCUUCUCAUUCAAAAGUCUAUGAAAAUACUUCUGCCACCUCUUCUUAAUGUGAACAUCCUCCACCAAAACUCUACCAUCCUCUCCUUUAAUGCACUUCACUUGAUCGAGGUCACGACCUUUCCUCUCCCUAGCCUUAGCUAGCCUAUACAACCUUUUUCCCCCUCCUUUCUCUUUUAACCCCGCAUACAAGCACUCAAACGUUGCUGUCUUAGUAGUCGUAACUGCUACUUUAGGCUUCUUUCGUGCUACUUUUUAAACCUCCCUACUCAUCCGCUUCUCCUCUUCAUCUUUACUCUCAAUCAACUUAACAUACGCCCCCUUCUUAAUCUCCACUUUCUUCUUAACUUCUUCAUUCCACCACCAGUCCCCCAUAUACCGACCUGCCCGACCCUUCGAAAUACCCAACACCUCUCUAGCCGUCUUCGUGAUGCAACUGGCAGCCUUAUCCCUCAUACCAUCCACGUCCCCCAUUCUUGCCAACUUCUCCCCUAUCUCCUAUGCACUAACCGACGUCAAGCUACCCCACCUAAUUCUGGUUUGACCCUCUUUGGCUCUACUCUUCCUGCUCCUCUUAAUAAUCAAGUCCAUCACUAAAAGUCUCUGCUGGGUCGAAAGGUGCUCACUUGAAAUGACUUUACAGUCCUUACACAAAACCCUAUCUUCUUCCCUAAGCAGCAGAAAGUUAAUCUGAGUCUUGGCUAACGCGCUUCCGAAGGUAAUUAGAUGAUCCUCCUUCUUCGGAAAGCUCGAAUUCACAACCACCAGCCCAAAAGCCCUCGCAAAAUCCAACAGAGGAACCCCCUUACCAUUUCUAUCGCUUAAACCAAAACCUUCAUGCACAUCGUCAUAACCUCGUAACACCCCAACACGGUGUAAAUGCAGUGUUGUACGAUAACUUUCAAAACACACAGGAAAUAUAAAGAGCACAUGUACACUAAAUAAGUCUGAUGCGAUGAGCUAACUGCGUUGGUGGGUAAUUGAUCCCUUGACUGGCCCCCCUAAUAGAUAGGAUACAUACAUACAUACAUAUAUAUAUAUAUAAAUAAUUAUUAUAUUAUAAUAUUAUAAUAUAUUAAAAGUGUAAAUACCCUUAGAAAAGUGAUUUGAACUUUUUGUCCUUCAUUAAAAGACUUUCCUUUAGACAAAACUGUCUUUUCACUAUUUUUUAAUUUAUUAUUUAAUUAUUUUUUACUAUAUUAACUAGACUUCCUAAAACAUAUGGGGACUCCUAAAACAUAUGGUAGGAGAAUUAAUUAAUAUUUUUCUUUCUACCAGACUUCCUAAAUUAUAUGGGACUCCUUAAAUAUAUAGUAAGAGAAUUGAUUAAUAUUUUUCUUUCUACUGUUCAAUUAGAAAAAUACUCCUAAAAUAGUACUCUAUUAAGGAAAUACUUCUAAAAAUAUUGAGAUGUACGUUAAACUAGAAAACAAACUGAUUAUCCCAUUGGGAGAAUAUAAUUGAUGUUCAUCUAACUUGAUUCGAUUGCAUGUCUAGAUUAGUGGAUUCUUGAUUUUCUAACCCCCAACUUCUUCACUAUUUUUGUCAGUAUAAUAAAAUUCAACAUGUGUGUAUAUAUACAUCUUCUCUUUUUUCAUUCAAAAUUAUUCUUUCGGGUCAAAAUUUUAGCUCAGACAAGAAUUAGUUGGAUCAAAAUCGAAGUUUUGUAAUCACUAUUAUAUAUAUAUUUUUUAUAGUUUACAGGUUGUUGGUUGGCUUUCAAAAAUUUCUUGUGUAAAGGUUAUGUUUAAUUGUAUUGUUUUGAUAUCUUUAUUAUCUUAUUGUUUUAUUUUAAUUUACAAAUGCUAGAUCACUACUAAAAAAAAAGAGGAAAUCCGACCACAAAAACCUACUACAAGUGGUCAGUUUUUCUCAUUUUCCGACCACAAAACCGACCAAAAUUUUUGAUCGAAAAAGUAGUGGUAGCUUUUUUAAAAACCGACCACAAGUGGUAGGUUUUUUAAAAAUAUAUAUAUUCAUUUUAAAAAUUUAUUAUUAUUUUAUUUAAAUGAAAAAAAAAAUUUAGGAAAAAAUAAACCGACCACAAUUGGUCAAUGUUUUGCAAAGAAAAAUAUNNNNNNNNNNNNNNNNNNNNNNNNNNNNNNNNNNNNNNNNNNNNNNNNNNNNNNNNNNNNNNNNNNNNNNNNNNNNNNNNNNNNNNNNNNNNNNNNNNNNNNNNNNNNNNNNNNNNNNNNNNNNNNNNNNNNNNNNNNNNNNNNNNNNNNNNNNNNNNNNNNNNNNNNNNNNNNNNNNNNNNNNNNNNNNNNNNNNNNNNNNNNNNNNNNNNNNNNNNNNNNNNNNNNNNNNNNNNNUAUAUAUAUAUAUAUAUAUAUAUAUAUAGAAAAAUCGACCACUUAUGUUCAGUUUUUUUGGGAAUUUAAAAAAAUAAUAAAAUUGAAAACCCAAAUACUGCAUGCAACCACAACAGAUAUAUAGAGCAGUAACCAAAAUGAAAAUACAACAACAAAAAAAAAAUAGAAAUUUUCAAAAGUGUACAACACAUACAAAAUAACCAACAAAAGUGAAUAUGAAAAUACUACAACAAUAGUUUCAAACAACAAAAUGUCUAAAUUUAAAGUACAAGACAUACAAAAAUCACAAACUAACAGUCAUCAUCAUUGAAUUCGUCCUCGUCUUCCAUAUCAUCAUCCGUGCUGAAAUCAUCCAGGGGGCCUAGACCUUUUGCAGCCCGAAUUGCAUCACCAGGACAGGAGGAAUAACCCCCCAGUCUGAAUGAAAGAACUGAACUGCUGAUGCAGGAUCCUGAUUUGUGAUGCCGUUGCCUCCUCCGUCUUCUUCUGCCUCACACUCUGUUCAACAUAACUCUGUCUCUGUUUAGCAAGCUCUCUGGUGAGUUGAGAAAUCGUAUUUUGUAGUCUUACAAUGGUUUCUGCAUCAACCGAAGAGAUAGAGUAUGCAGGGCCGGACGAACUCCUAAUAUUAUCGCCAAAAUAUUCAGUGUGGCAUCCGUAGAAAUGUCCUCUAUUUGCAAGACCUGAAGCUUUUGUCCAUACCUCAUUCCGUAAUGCUGGGGUAUUGGGUCACCCUGACUUUCAGGAGGCAAACUACUACGAUACUCACUAAGAAGACGCCUAAAUUCGUCCUAUAUAUAUUCAAGGUAAAUUUAAUACUAACAGUAAAAAAUACUAAAAUUGUUAUAGUUGAAUAAUAUCAACUUUGAGAAAAAAAUUCAUAAAUACAAAAUUUAUUUCUUACGUGGAUAAACUUUGCACGAGGUUCAACCCAGACAUCUUCAUCAUUCGGGUUCAAUUUCUUUCUCAGAUGAGUCACCUCGAAAACCUCACCAGUUGCUAGUUUCCUACCCAUUUCUUUUUUCUGCAUAUGAAAAAAUUAUCAAUGUUCAAAUAAUAAAAAAAAUUAAAUAGAAAUAAAGAAUUAAACUGCAAAAGUUACAUACCAAUUUUUCUUUCACUGCAAGAGUACUUCUAGCACCUGUAGUAUGUAGGGAACCACCCUUGGAUGAUGCCCGGACUCCCUUUCCUUUUUCCCUCAACAAUUGGUAUUCUGGGCUAUUCCAGUGGCGCUGAUACAGUGGCCAUAAGGGUUCAGGAAUCCACUUAGGUUUUACUGAUUUCUUUCGAGCAUAGUCCAAUAGAUCUUUAAAUCUGCCUCUACAUCUUUUAAAAAAGUUCCUCUUUAUAAGAAAUUCAUUUGCAGCAUCCCACCAGUAAAAUCUCUACAACCAAAAUAUAAUAUUCAAUCUUGUGUUCUCACAAAUUGUUAAUAAGUAAGCGAUAAGUUAAAUCCUUACCUUAAAUUCUUCUAACAUUCUAUCCCUGUCAAGUUCUGGAACCUUUUGACAGCUGAUCCAGUAGCCGUUGAAGUGCUGACUAAUGCAUAUUCGCGCCGUUUUUCCAACUCCAGCAUCCGGCUUAAACCUACAACACAAGAUCAAACGAUAAUUUCAUCGGGAACAAUAAAAUAGUAAUGGAGAAAAUGAGUAACGUUAUUAUAUUUAGAAAUCUUACCCUCUCGCAACUGGAACCAUAUAAAUCCUUGCAGAAUCAUCUCUGUCACCUAACUGCCUAAUAAGCGAUGAUGAAUGCACUGGCAUAUGAAAAUAUUUUAAAACUGUGGUAAAUAUUUUAAUAUCAAAAUAUCGUCCUAAACAUAGUAAGCCAAGUAUUUAUUCUCAGGCGGAGGUGAUUUAAUCACCUUAUUUUUUUUUCCCAACUAAUCCUAAUUUUAUAUCAUUUGUUAGGUGUUAUGAUCCUCUUAUUUAAUUAAGAUUGAAUUAUUUUUAACAUUUUUUUGUUUUCGCAAAAAAAUACUUUUAAAAUCAUUUUUAAUGUUCAUGUAUUAACAACAAUUAUUCAUAAAUUUAACAAGUUUUAUAUGAUCGUGCAAAGAGCGAUUAAGUUACCUAGUUAUUGAAUAAAUAUAUUUGAGUGAAGCAUAUUUUUCAUUGAAAGAGAAAUAAUUCUAGGUGAAAAUUAUUUUCCUUAUAGCUAUUUUAAUUUUAAAUUUCGACCACUAUUGCUAACGUCAACAUUCAAAUUAAACAUCAUUUGGAUGUUAUUGUCAAAAUGUAAUAUCUAAAAUUCUCAUCGUAAUACUUUCCAAUUUGCUAAUAUUAUUAUCAAUUCUAAAAAAUUACAACGAUGCAAUAUUUUAGUAAAAGUUAUAAAUAUUAGCAGCAUUGGUUAAGUUAAUAAUUUAUCUGAUUAUUUACGGCAAAAAAAAAAAAAACUUAAUUAACAAACUGUGGCAGCUAAAUAUUUGCCCUCCAUAACAUAAUUCUUCUAUCAAAUGAAUCCAACGAUAUAUUCUUUCCUACUUUUCCCUAAUAAUUAUCUCCCAUAAUUAAGUAACAAACUAAUCCAAUCAAUCCGAUAAUCAUGCUUAAUUAAGCUCUCAAUUGGUACUCAAACCUUCCAUAUUUUCUCUCUCAAUAAUUGACUUCCUGGAUAAUUAUGGUGUGUUGCAGAUUUAAUUAGAAAUAUUAAAUUUUAUAAGAAUUAUAUUUAUUGAAUUAAUUAUAUAUUAAUAAAAUAUAUAGAAAAUUUAUUAGAAAUAUUUAAUUAUAUAAAUUGUUUGGUAAUAUAAUGGUACAAUUUAUAUUUGUGUGUCUUAAUGUAAUUGUAUAAAAGGUACAACAAUGGAAUUAAUUAUAUAUUUCGUAAUAAUCCGAGUAUAUUUCAAAUUUAAUAAGGAAUAGCUAAUUAAACAAAUCGUAUAAUUCAGAAAGAGUAUGUUUUUUCAAGAUAAGAAAUCAACGACAUCCAUAGUAGAUAAAAUAGAUCGAGGAUACCUACUUCAAUCAUUGACAUUUCAAAUUAAUGGAUUCGUUACAACAACAUUUCAUAAUAGAUAUAUAUGUUUCAAUAAUUAUAAAACGGUUAAAUUUAAUUAUGACGAUCAUUCAUUAUAACAAUUUCAUUUUCUCUCUAAUUGAUUUUUCAUGUUAUAUUUUAUUUAUCUGUGACAACAACAUUCUUCUUAUAACAAUAAUAAUAUUCAUUAUAACAGUAUGCUAGCCUUUUGUAAUAGAUGACCCUUCUAUAAAAAACAUACUCAAAUUUAUGUAACAAUAUUUUAAAAGAAAUAUAUUAUAUAUAAAAUAAAAUAUUAAAAUAUUAAAAUAUUUAUGAUAAUCAUCAUUAAUAUAAUGAAUAUAAAAUAAUUUCAAAUAUGAAUAUUGUUUAAAAGGAAAAAUACUGUAUCUAAAUAGUGUCCAUUAAUUAGGGAACAACUACUUUUGAAUUUAUUUAUGCCUUGUCUUUUCAAAUUUUUAUUAAUGAAUUAUGGAAAUCAAUCGAGAAUAUAAAUUUAACAAGUAUUUAAUAUUUAUUUAUAACAUAACAAGUAUAAAAUCUAAUUUGCAUAGUUUUAUGUAUAAAAGCUAAAUAAAAUUUAAAUGUCAAAUGUCAAUUUAUAUUUAUAAUAUCAACUCACUAAUCAUUAUAACAAUUAUAACACUUUCGGGCAAACAUUAUCACUAUAGAAAAAUUUAAUAAUAUAUUAGUCAUUGAUUUGCUGUAAGGCAGAUAAUUUUGUCACACAUCUUGUUAGCUAGCUCAAUUUGAAUUAAUACAUAAAAAUGACCCUAAACUUGAUACCAAAUUAUAAUUUUGAUCUUAAACUUUGAUAGUGCACAAAUAAGAUCUUUAACUAUUCAAAAUCUGAACAAAUAUGACCUCCGAUUUUACAACCCCUUGUGUGAGUCUCACUCGCGCCUACGUGGAAAGGUAAUCCAAUCACACGGUGCCACAUCGUUAAAAGGCUCACUUGGAGAGAGGUCAUAUUUGUGCAAUUUUAAAUAGUUAAAGGUCAUAUUUGUGCACUAUCAAAGUUUUGCUUUUUGUGUUAAAACGACGUCGUUUUUUUUAUUAUUAAUAUAAUAAUUUUUUUAUUUAUUUCUAUAGAAGCAGCACCUAACUUUUUUUAUUUUAAAAAAUUAUUAUUAUUAUUAUUAUUAUUUUAUUUAUUUCUAUAGCAGCAGCACCUAGCUUUUUUUUAAUUAAAAAAAAACAGCCACUAGCAGGUAUCGAACCCGCACAGUAGGCUAAAGGAAGCUUCCAAGAAGAGCAAAUAAUACCACUAGGCUAUCUAAGCGUCUUGUUUCAUAUGGUUCAACAUUAAUAUACGUACAUAAAUAUACAUUUUCUAUCUUAUAUAUAUACAACGUAAUUUUUUUACCGAGGGGGUUCGGGUGAACCUCAUGGCAACCAUGUAGGUCCGCCCCUCGUUAAUUUAAUAACGUUAAGUUAAUAACAUCGUUUAAUUAUGUUUAUUUGAUAACGUUAAUUUAAUAUACUACUAUUACUAUCCUUGAUAACAUUAAUUUAAUAAUGUUUUAUUAAAACUAUUUUUUUUUUUAUUAUUGGUAUAGUUUCAUCUUUAAUUUAAUAUUUAAAUUAAUAAUAUUUAAAUAUAUUAUAUAACUUAAAUUCGUCUUCUGCUUUAUAAUAUAUUUACAUACCCACUCAAUUUUUUCGUAGGCUGACCCGCCUAAUUAAUAAAUCUUCAAUAUUGCUCUUUUUCCGCAAUGACAAAAGAAAUUAGAUGUCAUUUUCAUCUUUGAGCCGAAAAUAAUGAAAAAAUAAUAGUGAAGAGUCAUUUAAUGGUUAUAUUUGUGCAGUUUUGAAUAGUUAAAUGUCAUAUUUGUGCACUGUCAAAGUUUAGGGUCAUAUUUAUGUAUUAUGCCCUUAGAUUUUAAGCUGGACGCGUUCAAUUUUGCGUGUUGAACACGCGUUUUGCCACGUAGGAUUGGAGGUCAUAUUUGUGUAGUUUUAAAUAGUUAAAGGUCAUGUUUGUGCACUGUCAAAGUUUAAGGUCAAAGUUAUAAUUUGGUGUCAAGUUUAAGAUUAUUUUUAUGUAUUAACUCGUUCAGUUUUCUUGCUUCAACUAUGACAUGUAAGAUUUAUGUUAUCCAAGCUUAGACAUAUAUAAGAAGGUGUUUGAAUUGAUUUAUUUUUAAGUAUUUUAGGUCUUUAAAUAUUUUUUAUUUUUAAAAGUGUUUGACAAAAAUAAAAAAUAUUUUUGAGCAUUUUAUUUUGUAACUAAAAAAUAUUAAAUAAGUCCAAAAUUAAAAACAAAUCACUAUCUACUUUUAACUUUUGGCCUUUAAGUUACUAAAAAAAAAAACGAAUUAUCGAAACAUCCUCCAACUUUAAUGAGUUUGUGAAAAUUCAUUUCCAAGUCAGCGAAAAAAAAAUAUAUUGUGUCCAAAGAAUAAAACGAAAGGGCUGCUAAUGAAAAAUAAUGAUUUAUUAAAGUUGUUCCAGCAAUCACGUAUCAUCGAGAAUGACUAGUCACCACUCACCAGUGACAGUUUUCCCUUCAACAAAUAGUUGCAUGAUAUGACAUGACAUUCAUAUGAACUAUGUUAACAAUUUAUAUUCUUUUCCUCCUUCAACUUGUCCUCCAAAUUAUUUUAGUAUUUAAAUUUAAUUUUAAAUUAUUUAUCUCUAUUAAUAUUUUUACAGUGAAUUAUUUUCACCCCUCAAGAUCGAAUACCACUUUCACAACAGAGAGUAUGUUACACUCGCCUAAACAUCAACGCCACAUUAGAGACACGUCAUUGCCACAUAAGAAGUUUAAUUUUUCUAAAAAAAAGUAAAUUCCCCGCACUUUAUUUUUAUAUAUAUUUUUUUAAAAAAAUAAAAAAUAUAUAUUCACUAUANNNNNNNNNNNNNNNNNNNNNNNNNNNNNNNNNNNNNNNNNNNNNNNAUAUAUAUUAGAUAAAAAAAUCACCCCCACCUCCCAUUUUUUUUUUCUUCACACCUCCCAUCCACCCCGCCCCCUUCCCUACAACGCAGCCCCUUCCCCCUUUCUAUCUUCUUCAAAUCAGCCCACCUCUCCCUCACCUUUAUUUUCUAUCUUCUUCAAACUUAAAGCAUAUUACCAAAUCAAGAAACAACCAAUUCAAGAAACAACAAUUCAAGAAACACCAAUUAUUCCUUCAUCAAACCACCAAUUCAAGAAACUCAAAUUUCUGGCACAACUUUACAACAUCAUCAGAAAACUCCAAUAAUCAAUUAAGACAUCAAUCAUGAAUUCAAUGAACUCAUUUUUUUUUUGUUUUCAAGUUUUUUCGAGCUUUAACAAUGGUGGAUACAAAAUUAAACUAGCAAAAUUCAUACCAAUCAAACUCAUAAUUCAAGUGCAACUUCACACCAUCAUCAGAAAACCCCAAUAAUCAAUUUGAAUACCACCCACAAAUUUGACAAACUCAUUUUUUUGGUCUUCAAGCUUUUUCAAGGUUCAAUAAUGAUGGAUACAAAGGGCAAUCUCAUAAAUCCAACAAUAGUUUUCUUGAAAAAUCACUUAAGUAAUUUAGUUCAACAAUCAUGUAUUGAAAGAAUCUUUUUUUACAAAAAUAUUUUCUAAACCCAUUAAAAUUCAUAACUUUUCACACAUAUUUUUUUUUUUCUUUCUUGAAGAAAUUAAUGAAGAUAAUAGAAGUGAAGAUGGAGAGUUAGAAGAAGGAGAAAAGAAAUUGGGGUGGGCUUUAAGAAGAAAUACAAGAAAACGGGAGUGGGGGGUGAGGGCGGCCUGGGGGAUAUGAAGAAGAUGAAGAUAGGGUGGGGUGAGAGGUAAGGGGUGGGUUUAUAUAUAUAUGUUAAAAAAAGUAGGACCAUAUCAGUUUUAAAAUUAAAAAAGGUUCUUUUAAAAAAGUGGGAUCAUAUCAGUUUUAAAAUUAAAAAAUGUUCUUUUUUUUUCUUUUCUUUUUUUAAAAAUCCACGUCAGCUUGAGGGGUGAAAAUAAUUCACUUUAAAGAUGUUAAGAGGGUUAAAUAAAUGAAAGUUAAGUUUAAGUGUUGAAGUGAGUUUAAAUGACAAGUUUAUCGGGGAAAAAUAUGUCUUUUCUCAUUUAUAUUUGGAAAAAAAUGAAUUUUUGUCCGUGAACUUUUUGACUUUUUUCGUAUUAGCAUCUCAAUUAGUUCAUGUACAUACUGACUCCCUUAUUCAUUCACAAAUGAUUUCAAUUAAGUACAACUCUCUUAUUGGAAAGUGUAUUGCACAUGCCAUGACAUGUCAGUAUUUGUGCUUAAUUGAUAACUAUUUAUGAAUGAAUAAAGAGUUCAAUAGGUACAUGAGCUAAUUGAGGUGUCAAUAUGAAAAAGUCAAAAAGUUAAGGAGCCUGUCUAUGUAUUUUGUCUUUAUAUUUUUUAGUUUCAAUUUAUUUAUUUAUCUAAUUUUAAUUUGAUAUAAAAUUUAAAAAAAUAAAAAGAAAAUUUUAAUUUUAUAAUGUUAAACUAGAAAUAUGAAUAAUGUAUUAAAAUGUAUUUUGACCUUGUGAUCUUAAAAAUAUCAUAUAAAAAUUAGAAAAAAUUUAAAAGUUGUUAAAAAAAAAAGAGACAAGUUUUUAAAACAAAUUAUUAAGGAAAUUACUACAAAUUGAAACUGAGAGAAAUUAAACUCUCAAUUAUAUUCAGUUCCCUUUCACAAAUUGUAGACUAUUCGACUCUUCUUCCCAAUAUAAAACCCACCCAAAUUAUUCCUCGAUUCUCAUCAAUACUCAAAAUGGGACUCUCCAAUUCCGUAAUUGUUUGUUUUCUAAUUACCUUUGCUAUAUUUCACUCGUCACAAGCUCAAGAUUCUCCCCAAGAUUAUCUUAACGCUCACAAUGUAGCUCCUAGACAAGUUGGUGCCGGCCCUAUGACAUGGGACAAUAAGUAGAGGCCUUUGCCCAAAGUUAUGCCAAUCAGAGAAUUGGGGACUGCCGGAUGCAGCACUCCAGUGGCCCUUACGGCGAAAACCUAGCUGCUGGCUACCCUCAGCUCUAUGCUGCUGGAGUCGUGAAAAUGUGGGUCAAUGAGAAUUAAUUGUACAAUUAUAAUACAAAUACUUGUGCACCAGGAAAAGUAUGUGAACACUAUACUCAGGUUGUCUGGCAAAACUCGGUACGUCUUGGUUGUGCUAGGGUACGUUGCAAUGACGGGUGGUAUUUUAUAAUUUGCAAUUAUGAUCCACCAGGUAACUGGUGAGGUAACGUCCCUAUGGUGAUCUUGAAGAACAACAACUGGCCUUCGAUUCCAAGUUGGAACUUCCCAGUGAUGUCUAAGAGUAAAUAAAAUCAUGAAUAAUGCUUAAUUCACGUGUUAAUGAAAAUAAAACCCAGUACUAUUUGCUAUAUCUGUUGGAUGUUAUCUUACUAGCUCAGUUGGAUAAUUAUCCAAUGGUGCAGAUCUGGUGACUUGUUAAUCAAGGGGAAAUAUUUUGUCUACAUUGAUAUUCAUAUGGACCCUUGCAUGUUGUUUAAUUUAAUCUAAUCACUUUUUAUAUGAGUAUUUUGACUCCUUUAUUUGAUUCAUGUUCAUGUUUUACAACUGUUGGCACUAUGGGGUGCGGGUUGUCUUUUCUAGUUUAAAUCUAUAUACGGACAAUAUACUAUUUUUUUACACACUAUUAAUUAAGUCAUCAAGAAAUAAUUCAUAACAACAAAUAAAUUAUUAUAAGGGAUAAUUAUGUAAUUUCGCCAAUAUUAACUCCUAAUUAUCUUAUUUAGCCUAAUUUUAAUUAAUUAUAAUUAAUAGUCUCUUCUUG
rnacentral:lncRNA from 1 species